UUAAAAUAUCUUAAGUCGAUAGGUCGUUUUUCUAAGGAAGGAAAUUUGAAUGAAAAAUAUCAUUCAAUGAUAUUUUCAUGACAAAAAAUAAUACUUUGUACCUCAAAUAUGGUAAUAUUAGAUAUCAAUAUUAUCCAAUAUUAUAUUAUUUAUACAAAAAAUAAAUAAAUAAUACCAUUUGGAAAAAUUCAAAAUUAAUUGGAUUAUGUACCUAAUUUUUCAUUACCAAAAAAAAAUUGUACGUAAUUUGUACUUUCCAAAUACUCUAACUUUCCUAAACAAUGAAUUGAAUUGAAACAAGUGCCUUAAAGAGAGAAAGACAUACACAGAGCUCUCACGGUUUAACCUGAUUGAGUCGAAUUCUCAGACCAGUUGGGUCGAAUUCUUACAACACUGAUAAAUACCCCAGCCCCCAUAUCUCAAUUCCUUCAGGGUAAGUUAGCUUUGCACUAACCGUCCCCAUUAAAAAUUUAACUUUCUUUCAUACUCAGUCUACAUUCACUACUACUUCUCCGGCCAAGUAUCACCAACCCCUCUCCACCGUCCGUACGUCCCCCGCCGCCGCCAUGGAAUUCCUCCAACCCAUCCUCUACCUAAUUAUCCCUCUCCUCCUCCUCCUCAUCGCCAGCCGCAGUCGUAGUAGCCGCCUCCCUCUCCCGCCGGGUCCCAAUGGGCUCCCGAUCAUUGGCAACAUGCUGAUGAUGGACCAGCUCACCCACCGUGGGCUGGCCCAGCUGGCAAAGAAGUACGGAGGAAUAUUCCACCUCAAGAUGGGCACCAGCGUCCACGUCAUCGCCGUCUCUUCCCCUGAAGUCGCCCGUGAGGUCCUCCAGGUCCACGACAGCAUCUUCUCCAACCGCCCAGUCAACGCCGCCAUAGCCUACCUAACCUACGACCGCUCCGACAUGGCCUUCGCCAACUACGGGCCCUUCUGGCGGCAGAUGCGCAAGAUCUGCGUCAUGAAGCUCUUCAGCCGCAAGCGGGCGGAAUCGUGGGACUCAGUCCGUGACGAGGUCGACUCCAUGGUCCAGACCGUUAAGGUCAACGCUGGCCGAGCGUUGAACGUCGGGGAGCUGAUUUUCACGUUGACCAUGAACAUUACUUACAGGGCGGCGUUCGGGUGCAAGAACGAAGGACAGGAUGAGUUUAUUAAGAUACUUCAGGAGUUCUCCAAGCUUUUUGGGGCUUUUAAUAUUGCCGAUUUUAUCCCUUGCCUCGGCUGGAUGGACCCACAGGGUCUUAAGUCCAGGCUUGUGAAGGCUAGGGGUGAUUUGGACAAAUUUAUUGAUCAAAUCAUGGAGGAGCAUAUCGAGAAGAGGAGGCUAAACGGCGGCGUACAGGCUGACCAUGCUAUCUCUGACAUGGUUGAUGACUUGCUUGCUUUCUAUAGCGAAGAUCAAGACGCCGGUAAAGUUUGGGACUCCGACUCUCUUAAACUCACCAAGGAUAACAUCAAAGCCCUCAUCAUGGUAAUUAACCAAUUCUUCAUUGAUUGAGCUCACAUUUGUAAUUAAGUGAUUUCAUUUCUUUAAAAAUGGUUUCCGUUUUUUCCAUGGUAAACAAUUCCUCAAUAAGCUUAAAUUUGCAUUUAAGGGUUGUUUAGUUUUGAAUUUAAUUAAAAUUAUUUGAAUUAAUAUCUAGAAAUUUAAAUUAAUUAAAAUCACCUAAAUUUAUGAAAUUACUCAUCAAAUAUUCUCCAAAUAUAAAAAAAAACGACUAUGUGAUUAUUUAAUUUUUUAAUAAUUUUACUUUAGACAAAAAAAACAAGUGAGAUGGAAUCACUCCAUGGUAGAGUUGUGUGUUUGGUUAUUUGGAGAGUUCUGGAUUUGAAUCCAACAUAUCUUACAAAAUGAAUACGAAUAUAAUAUUUAUUUAAUUUUUUUUAUUUUUAUUAACGGAGAGUACCUAUCUAUUUAUAAAAAAUCUAAUUUUUUGAGUGGACAAGCAGACUUAAAUUACAGUUAAAUGCUGUCAAAGUAUACGGAAAGAGUCGUUACAGUAAACUAGGACAAUUUUGGCCACUUAUACUGUAUGAAGAGCCCCGAUGAUCUACGACGGGUCCAGGAAGAGCUGGAGGAGGUCGUGGGACUGGACCGCCUGGUGGAAGAGUGCGACUUCGAGAAGCUGACCUUCCUCAAGUGCGUGUUGAAGGAGACGCUUCGCCUCCACCCGCCGAUUCCUCUCCUCCUCCAUGAGACGGCGGAGGAUGCUGAGGUGUCCGGCUACUUCAUCCCCAAGAGGUCAAGGGUCAUGGUCAACGCUUUCGCGAUCGGACGAGACCCGAACUCGUGGUCUGACCCGGAUUCUUUCAACCCGGCUAGGUUUUUGAAGGAUGGGAUGCCCGAUUUCAAAGGUGGUAAUUUCGAGUUCCUGCCGUUCGGGUCGGGUCGGAGGUCGUGCCCAGGGAUGCAGCUUGGAUUGUAUGCGCUGGAGCUAGGGGUGGCCCACCUGCUACACUGUUUCAAGUGGGAGUUGCCAGAUGGGAUGAAGCCGAGUGACGUGGAUAUGAGCGAUGUUUUUGGACUUACCGCGCCACGCGCAACACGACUCAUCGCUGUACCAAGCCUGAAAUUGGCGUGUCCCUUGUAAAUGCAUGCACAAAGUAAACAGGAAGAAAGGAGGAGAGUCAAAACGACGACGAGCUGAUCGUUGAAUUUGAUUCUCGUUUACAUGUGAUUUCAAUCCUUUUGUUUCUUGUUUUUGUGGGGGUUUUUAUUUAAUUUCUUUCUCUCUAAAAAUAUCAACGAUGGAAAUAAUGGAUCCUACAGAGGGAAAAUUAAUAAUAAGGAUUUUUUUUUUGGUAAAAAGGAAAAAUAUUUGGUCAUGAAUCUUUUAUUUUCAUUAUCUUGCUGUAUAAGAAAUAUCAAUGUGAAGAAAUGUUUCAACAAUUAAGCUCAUACGUCAUAGAUUCAAUUUUUUUGUUAGAAAUACAUCAUAGAUUCAUAGUUAUACAAUACAAAUAGCAUGCGAUUAAUUUCUUAAUUAAUAAUUAAUACCUUAUUAACAAUACCAAUCACUACGUAAUGACAAUCUAAAAUAUUUUCCUCAACGACCUAGUUAGUGCAUUGCGUAUGCUCUAGUGUAGGAAUUCAAUAUUAGCAGAAGCAAAUUGUUACGAAAUAACGGAUGGAUGUGUGUAGGGGCACUCGCACGUUCGUAAACGGUUACUCCCACCACUACAAGAAAAUAUACCAGUAGUGACCAUAUAAAGGGACCGUAACAAAUUACCGUCACUAUAUAUACAAAUCUGGUCACUAAAGGCACUCGCAUAUUUAAGAAUUCCCGCUCAUCAGCGAAGCGGUCCCCAAUAGAAAAUGACGGAUCAAGUUGUAAUUUGCCACUGAUAUAAUGUGUUCUUAAGAGUUAAAAAUGUAUUUUGUAAUUGUGAAACCCUUUCUCCAAAGAAAAUUAGAAACUUCUUCAAAGUUCAAAACUUUCAUCUUACCCGAUAUCUAUUGAACUUUUGGGAUUAGGGUUUGUUCUUUGUUAUAUUGUUGUCUCGUCCCUCUUUGAUUGAUAGCUAAUAGUGAUGCUAUUCGCCACUUUUCAAGGCUUUGUUUCCGGCUUUCUGCCCAAACAAGUUUGCUCGCCGAUAAGUGCUGAAUUUGUGAUUCAUCAAGCUUUUACCGCCAUGCCAUUCACCAAGAUGUUUCCACUGUGUGCACACUUGCAUGCUUUACUCACAGUUCGGCAUGGGACACUUGCACUUUAAGCGUAGUUUCACUCGCACCUUGACAUUAUACUUCCACUUACAUAUUCGCGCAGAGACACUUAAAACUUGACAAAAGCAAGGGGCGGAUCAGGGGGAGGCAGGGGCCGCCACGGCUCAGGGCAAUUUUGGCCUUGAGCCGUAAAUUUAAAUAUAUAUUUAUGAUUUUUUUGAAUUUGCCUCGGGGGAAUUUUAAAUUCGAUUUAGUGUUAAGAUGUUUUUGCUCAGUACUUGAUACAUAGUAAUCAUAAUUUUAGCUAAAUACUUGAAUUUACUAUUACUUGAUUUGAAAAAAUUGCCAGUGACUAGGACAACUUACUUUAACUAAAAAUAACACCUCGAAUUUUUUUUUUAAAUUAUUUUAACUUAGUAUUAUAUUUAAAAAAAUAUUUUUGAAAAAUGGUUACUCAUCAGACAAUACACAAAAAUCGAUUCAAAUCCGGCUCAGUGCACAUUUCCAUCUUGAAUCCGCCAUUGGAUAUAAGUUCACUCACACCUUAAUAUAGGGACAUUCGCACUCUAACAUAGUUGUACUCAUAUAUAUCUCGACAUAAUGAAUUCAAUUAACAUUCGAUUAAAUCCAAAUGUUAAUGAAUUCAAUUAAUAUUCGAUUAAAUCCAAAUGUGGGAUUCAAAAUCAAUACUUUAAGCAGUAGUUCCAAACAUCACCUUGUUUUGAGCUGAAGAAAUAUUACAUGAAUCCCAAACGCAAAUCACAAAUGAUCACCAUUCCAUUCAUCCACAUACCAACAAUAAUAUUAUUAUUAUUAUUAUUAUUAUUUCGAAAGAACAAUAUUAUUUUCAAAAAUACGAAACUAAAAAAUGAUUUGAAAAUAUUGAGCUUCGGUCUCUGUCACUCCACAUCUCAACCACCACCACCACCACCAUUUCUUACUCCAACCCCCGUGAUCAUCAUUUUAUUACAAAUGAUUCCUUGUCUUCUCCACGGUACGUUGUCGUUUCAUCUUUGUACCCUCCCAUAGCAAGUCCGAGCUCGAAUUAAUUUGCCAGCUCUUCGUUUUCUCCACAAGAAUUCCUCAGCCAAAUCAAUGGCGUCAAUGCCUCACGCCAGCUUUUUCAGUAGACGUGGACAAUCCACAACUUCAUAUUUCAACAUUUCAAAUAAUAAUAAAAUCUUCAUAUUUUUUUGCACAAAAGAAAUAAUUUGAUGGGCACCGUUCGUCAGAUAAUUAAAUUUUUGAACAAUCCAUGUGAGACCGAUAAUACUAUCAACAAAAGUGUCGGAAUAAUUAUACAUUCUGACUUUAAACCUAAAAUCUCUAAAAAUAAAAUAAAAAAUUAUAAUCAUUAUAAUUUAUUUAGCAAAAAAAAAAAGUUCAUAUUUAAAAAAGUACAUGGAUGCCCUUUUAUUACGUGGCCACUCAUAUAGAUUCCCCAUAAAUGUAUACAUUGUUGACGUAAUUGCAUGGGGCAGAAGAAAUGGCAUGUGCCUGUUGCUGCUAUUUUGACAAUUUACUUAUUUUUUCUGUAAAGAAUUUUAAAUGUUUUCACGUUUUGGUAUCGGGAUUUAGGUAGACAAUGAUUUCAAUUUGUAAAAUAUUUGGUUUCUUUUCUUUCGAAAUUUCUAACUCCUGUUUUAAUAUUACUACUAUUGUUCAUAAAAUAAAACUAGUCUAUAUAUUUCUGUAUAUUAGGACACUCUUUAUAUAACUUAUACACAAGUAGAAGAGAGACUUAUGGAUGUGGUUUGGUGGCAGAAAAAUCUAGAUGCAUGGAUGAAGGGUUACAAUCCAACUGAUGAUGUGUAUAUAUCUUGGUGGAGCCGACAAGAAAUUAAGGUGUCCCACACCCUUCUCAAUCAAUGAUUCGUUCCGCGGUGAGAAUAUAGAAUGAAAUUUCAACGCUUUCAUACUAAAACUAAAAAUUAAAAUUCCAACAAAAUAUAUUUUAAAAGUUUACAUUUUGAUUCUCAUCCACGUUUCAUUUNNNNNNNNNNNNNNNNNNNNNNNNNNNNNNNNNNNNNNNNNNNNNNNNNNNNNNNNNNNNNNNNGAAUUAGCUCAUGAGCAUAGCAUAUAUACAAAUAAUAAUAUAUUAAUUGUUGAGAUUUGCAAUGAUGAAUUGUAUAUUUAUUUUAAAAAAAUUAACAAAUCAAACAACCAUUCAAACAAGUAGGCGCUAGCUCCUGGGAUUCUGAAAUUUGUAUUCUUUGUGUUGUGCUAAUUGGAGUAUGUAAGUAUUAUUAAUAUUGAUGCUAACUAGGAGCACUUAAUUGCCACUGGAUCAAAUGUAUCAAAAUCUUUGACUCACAACUUUUUCUUUAUUAUAUAUUUGGGUUGUUGUACUUGUACUUUUCUUCCUUUUCAUUAGCUUACGCUAUGCUGCAUGGCCUUUAAUAUGAGCUAGUAUGCCACUCUACUCAUCUGCAAAUAUAAAGUGAUUAAUAUGUAUAAUAAUAAUAAUAAUAAUAUAAAACCAUGGUUAUGUCAAGAACCACCAUAACAUAACAUGUUUACACAAUUUAUUAACAAGCUUUCAAGGUUUUCAGAAGAGGUGAGGUUUGUACAAUUUUACGCAGUAAGUUAUGUGCAGGAAUGGGGGCUAACGGGAUUCGGAAAGGAGACCUCUCGAUCUGUUAGGCUCUGAUACCAAGUAAAAAACCGUUGCAUUCCAAUAACUCGAGUUGUUGAAAAAGGAUUUUGAUUGAUUUUAUGGGUCGUUCGGGUAGGUGAUUUUGACAGGUGAUUUGGACAUGCAAAGAGAUUUUGUCUCAACAACAUCAAAAAGAGAAGAGAUUUGAGGAUAUUUGAAAUCACCUUGUGGGUCCGGAGAGAAUUUCAUGGGCGAUUUCAAAUCACUCUAGAAAGGUAGAGAUUUCGAAGAAAAAAGGGGAGAUUUGAAAAUUUUAACCAAAAUUUCCCGUUAUUUUGUUUGAUAAUUAAUAUCACCAUAAAUAAAUUGAAGGCAUAUUUAUAUGUUUAUUUCUAUUUAUUUCUGUUGAUGAAAACAAAUAAUUGGAAGAGUUGAUAUACUUUUGUGGUCAGCACUCAGCAUUGAUCAGCUAGCAUUAUAUCAUUCCCAGUUGAGACGGCAAAGGCAAGCAAACUGGCAAGGAUAAAUAAAAACUCAUUGUUUCAUGACAAACAACAACAGUCUGGCUAGAGCUAGCUGGCUGGUUUGAGUAUGACUAAAAUCAGCUGCACAGUAAUUUAAUACAGACGCAAAAAUUGUAAUGAUGAGUGCUUUGCCUAUAUAGGACUCUGGUAAUUAAUUAAGGGCUAAUGAUGGCACAGCAGAUGUCAUAUAUGGAUGGCCUUUCUAUUAUCUUGGUUGCAAUUAAUAAUCGAUUUUCGGGGCUGUACUGGUAAUCCCUGCAACUGAUGGGAUAAGAUUAUAGUCUGAGAAAUUGAGAAAUAAUAUAUAUGGGUGAGAGAUGACAUCUCAUUUUCAAUCCAUCUUAAUUACUCAACAUAUCGAAUAUGACUUCCCCCCUCGCCUUUUGAAUCCUCAACAUCAACUCCAUGUUUCAAAUAACUACAAUUUCAAGAAAUAGCAAGCGGAUACAAUCUAUGAGUCGGCUCAAGCAGCAGUACUGAGAUCGAUGUCCACAACGUAUUUGAGAAAUGUUAAUGAGCAAUGUCACGCGCCAUUGAGCGGCCAGCUCCGUUAGUAGACCGGCCGAUCGAGCAACCUGUACAUGGAGACGAGGACCACGUAGUCGGGAAAGCUAGGACUUCUGAUGAUGGCAUGACAUCGCCAGCUGAUCCACAAUGAUUACUCCGGUGAGAAAAUCAAGAGAGAACCACAUCAAUAUUGCCCUUGGUAUCUACCUGCCAAAUAUCAUAUAGAAAACAUCAAUCGCAAACAUUACAAACAACGAGGAGCUCCAAUACAUAAUUAUAUUAUAAAGACAUGAAUAUAUUGAUCCCACUUUAUAUAAAAAUAUGAAAAGCCAAAGAACUAAAAUGGACCAUACAAAGGAAAAUCCAAAAGGCACCAAAAGAAGCCAGGCAUGAACUCUGGUGUAGCGUGGGCUCCCAACUUGCAAACGAUUCGACCCACCUAUUUUAAGUAUUUAUUUUUGUAUUUAAUUAUUUAUAGCAUUUCAGUUAUAAAAGUUGACGAGACUGAUAUAUGGUCAAAAAACAAGAGCCAGCUGAUUAAAUAAAGGGACGACGUAGAGAUGUUGAAUUUAGUAGUAGCACAUGAUGCAUGUCAAAGUGACUUUCCCUGUAAAAAAGUCAAAGUUUAACAACGCUACGAUCGACGACUAUGUCAGCCUGACGUCUGUGCUUAUAAUAAACCAACAAUUUUUCUUCUCCAAAUUACCAACCAUAAUUAUUAGUGACCACCCACGUUGCCAGACUUCAAAGAUGCAGAAUUUAUGGGCUGAAAGGGACGGAGAGAUAAUAGCCCAUGUCUGUUGGAGAAUUCAAAAGGUGGGCCUACUUUACAUACUUCUGGAGUUCUGGGCCCAUAAUGCCGUUGCUCGCUCAUCGUUGAUUUUCAUUUUAUUUCGAGUAGAGUGGAACUCUAAUCGAUAGGGUGAAUAUUGGGUGGGUUAGAGGUGUGGUGAUAAAACCAACUUACUCGCUAUUUGAUGGAUUAUUUUUUGUAGACUUACACCCACUCGAUUAGUAACGGUGGGUGAUUGUUGGUGAGUAAUAACGGAUGAUGGGUGGAUUUGGGUGGGUUAGGUGGAUUAAUAUAAACUCUACUAACACAUGAAAUCAUAUUAGUUUUUGACAAAAAUAAGAUAGUUGUGACUCACUUUUCAUCACUUAUGAACCUUAAUGUAUUCUCAAAACUAAAUAAUACAAAUCAUUAAAGUAAAAGUAGUAUUGUCCAAAAAAUUUAUAAGGAAAGAUUUUUUUUAAUAUUUGUGCUAGAAAGAUUAAAAAUAAUAGGAAAAUUGUAGGUUUCGUCCAUUAAUAUAUUAGAUUGGUGGGUUAGACGGGUAACCACAACCCAACCCAAAUCCAAACAUAUUAGAUUACGUUACGACGAGUGAGUUUAAUGGGUAACCCAAACCAAUACUUACCCCUAUUAAUUGGCUUGUUAAUCCGAAACUAAUACAUUAAUAUUAAACAUGGUGAAAUCACGUUCGGAAAGUUAUUCUUGAGACAGACAGUCUUAUAGCUUGCCAAGCCAUUGCCCCAUUGCUCUGAUAAUUUGUGGGAUGAUGUUACUGAGAAGGGUUAUUUUGCUCGCUAGUUUUUUUCGUUCUUGUCAUGUGAUCUACUUUGUAAGUGACUUUUUUUUGCAUAAAAAAGUUAAAGAAUCGAGUUGUCUACGAAUUUGCUUGUCACAUAAUGAUUUUUGUGCAUGGGGACGGUUAGAAAUACAAAGAGAUUAUUGGAAAAAUCCAGUAACAUUUCCUUUGUCGAUUCUAGUCAUGUUGUAUAUUGAAGAGAAAAUCAAAGGAAAAUGGGUAGGUUGACCGGUUGGGACUCAACUCAGGUUUGGUAAUUAUGGAAAAACAUAUACCCAACUUCCAACCCUAGUUAAAAAGAGUAGUGGUUAUCAGCUUGGCUCGGCAUUCAGUAGUCAGUAGGCCAAGUUAAUUUUUCGGGUCCACCCGAUUUAAAUAACUAUAUACCUGUAAUAUGAUUUUACGGGUCAUCCAUAUUUGAAUGAUGUAUUUUGGUUUAAAUAAUUCAAAUUAAGUUAUUUAGGUCAAAAUAUAUUGUUUCCUAUCCAAAAUAAAAAUCAUGGUAUUUGAAAUAAUUCGCAUCGAUGUAUUACAAAUAUUUAGUUAUAAAUGUGGAAUUUGAGAUAACUCAAUUCAAAGCUAUCAAAAUUCAUAAAUUAUUACUAUUUUAUCAACCAAAUAAGAUAAUUCUUACACCUGAAAUGUUUUAAACCUAAAAAAUACCUCAUUUUUAAAUAAUAUCAUUUUGCUCUAAAAUAUUUCAUCAAAACAAACCAAAAACUUAGGCACCAAGUUGUAGGAAUGGUUGUGCCGCCUGGAUACGGUUUUUUUCCAUAAUGAUAAUUUCGUGAGAGUAAAAGGAUAUUUAGAUAAAAAAUAAUAAAAUUUAAAUCUCUAUCUAAAGAAUAAGAAUUACUAACAACUCUCCAGGAAAAAAAAUUAAAAGCCAAGCUUACCACAAAAUACACGACUCUACUGGCAAAAUGGUGGACAAUCCGAAGAAAUUAAAGAGCCCAAGCCAUCAAAUAUUUAGUCCAUUUUGUUAGGAUGCUGCUUUGAAAUUAACCUCUAUAAGAAAGUCUGCAUAAUGUCUAGUCAAGUUCGAACCAACCAUAUAAUUUUUUAUUCCUUUUCNNNNNNNNNNNNNNNNNNNNNNNNNNNNNNNNNNNNNNNNNNNNAAAACUAUGUAAGACCAGAUAGAAAAUAAUUAUCAAAAUAUUUUAAAUUAAAAAGAUUGGUAGGUAUAUACAUAAUCAUGGACUAGAUUGUUAAUCUGUGACCAAAGAUUCACAAAUUCUUUACUAGUUAGUUGGGGACCAUCCACACAAGCAGAGAAGAGACGAGCAAUGGCCUUUUAACACCAAUAAAAAAACAAGGCAAAUGCUAAUGUUUGUCUAACAUUAAAUAUUUGUUUGUCAGAGUAAAUUAAAAUUCUCAGUAAUAUAAAAUAAAAAAUAAUAAAUAAAUAUUAUAUUAAUGUUCAUUUUGUAUGAUUGUGUUAGAUUUAAAUUCAAAAUCUCCACAUCAUCAGAUAUACUAUUUUAUCAUCGAAAUAACUCCACUAAAACUCGUAUAUAGAGCAUUAGUUAAUUACAUCAAGAUGCGAACGACAGCAAGACCCACGGCAGAAAUGGAGAACAAAGUGCCGACGAAGUACUUUGUCAUAUCGUAUUUCGCUGCUUCCCAUUGGGCCUUCUGUGAAUGCAACUCCUGCCAAAAGCCCAAGCCCAAAACCAUCCCCACAGCCCUUUAGUCUUAUUGUGGAAAAAGAAAAAACUAAAAAGUAUUUCAAUGAAAUAUAGUAGUCACCCACCCGGUCAAACUUGUUAUCCAGGUUAGUGAUUUGAGUACUUUGAUGUGCCAUGUCAUCACGUAACCUCCUGCAACAACACAAUUUCAUUCAUCAUCGGCCACAAUUUUAUUUUAAAAAAAGGAGUGAUGAAAAUUGUCACAAUUACCCUUUCUCAAGGUUCCAAUCGAGUCGUUGACCGGCAUUGACCUUGUCUAUUUCAUGUUUGAGGUUGCUUCGGGUCUUGUCAAUGUCAUUUUGUGUUUUCUCUGUGCUCUUCUCAAUCGCAUUGUGCAUCUUCUCCGCCUCAUGUUGGAACAAUGAGAAAUGAUGUUCCUGUCUGGUUUGAAUUUCCGUUUUGAACUUACACAGGUUCGUUUCUUGGAUCAUCUCCGUCUAUAUACAUAGCAAACGAAUUAAUUAGUUAUAUAUACAUAAGGGAAUCGUAUUAAUGGAUGUAAACGUUUGAUUACGAACCCUCUGCAUUUCGGCCUUGGAAACAACUAACUGCGUCAUAUUUACAAAGCUAUCAUUCAAGACCUUCGUCAUCGCGGCGGUUAUCACUUCCGCUUGCUUCGACGGCACUCCUCCCUCCUCUAACAUCCGCGCCUGUAAUUCAAAUCAAAGGAAGAACAUUCACAAUUAAAGAAAACCAAAAACUAGGACCAAUGUAGAAUUUGAAAAUGGAGAGAUGAAGUAGUACUAACAAGUGCUAAUGUGUCGACGAGGAACACGUGAUUUCCGUUGGCUUUAACCAGAUCGGAUAUCUUCCGGUUAUAACCACCGAAGCGGUUGCAGAAUUUACUUUCUACCGGUGGAAAACUGCCAGACACAGCGGCACCAAAUCUAAAUCCUCCGUUUCUACUAAUCAUCCCUAAUUGGCCGACACGCCUACAAACAACGGCUACAGCCAUCGUAUUAAUUCUUCAAAAAACAAAAAAAAAAACGGUCCUAGUUUUGAUUUCACAGAUUGCACGCUCUCUGUGCCUUCCUUGGUCUAUAGUUUAGGCAGCAAGGCGCAGGAGAUUGAGACCAGGACUGCGAGGAAGACGAAGAACACGAAGGCCUGCAUAUCCUGUUUAUGCUAAUUGAAUUAUUGAUUGGUUGUUGUUUCUUUCCCCUCUCUCCAAUUCGUAUGAAAGAAGAGAGUAAUUUUUGGAUUAACGAGAAAGGGAGGGGAAGGAAAUGGGAUGAGAUUCGCCAUUUUUUGUUUCUUUAUAGCCAUUGGGUAUAAGAUAAAUUUAGAGAGGAUUCAUGGAUGGCGGGAAUUCGCGGGAGCGGAGGCGUUGAAUACAAGAGACCACCCCCGCACGUUUCCCAAGAAAAAACCCGUGAAAUCCGUUUUUUGAAUCUGGUUAACCAUUCGAUUGAGCCCAGCCCAUGUAAUCCUUACUACGGGCCUUUAGCCCCAUCACAAUUAAGCCUGCUUGGCCCAUCCAUAACAUAAUACGGUGUAGACAAAAUAAAUAUUACAUUAGUAUUUGUUUAUGAAAUAAUUUACAUUCAAAUUUAAUAUACUCAAAUUGUUAAUACACAACUCUAUUACCAGAGUAAUUCUACACAGAUCAUCUAGUGUAAUACUUAUUCUUGGUGCACAGAGCUAUGUUUUGUAGAGAAUAAAAAGUUUUUUGCUUAAGAGUUUUUUGUCUAAGAGUUAUCAGACCAAUGAACGAGUAAGGCAGUAUCUAAUAUUAACACAGCGAGGAUAAAGCUAACAAACACACUUUUUUCAUGGCGAGAAGUCGAAUUUCUCAAAUAUUUUUAGAGAAAUUAGAAAUUUCGAAAAUAUAAGCAGUAAAAAAACAUGUAUUUACGAAAUACAAAAAUUGUACAUCAUUACGACUGAACAAAAUACAAAUUUCCCGGCUCUACACCAAAUGACCCAUUGAAGGAACUAAAACAGAAGGUAAGUCGAAUUUGUGCACUCUGCAGGAAGAAAGUAAGCAAAAAAUCACAUUUGAGAACUUAUGAAGGCAAUACAGUACAGAUGGAUCAUGUAAGGUGUAAAACGAACCACACAAUAAUACAUUUACCUCUCAUCAUUUACGCCCUUCUACUGUUCUUCUGCAACUAAUAAGAGGCAGGGGCCUGGAUUUUAUUUUAUAUCGAGAGGCAAAAAGACACUGAACUUAAAACAAAAAAAAAUGAUACACAUCGGGAAUUAGUCGAGCAAAAGGGAUAUGUCGAUGAAGAUGAUGUUGAUCCCUGCUUCCUUCCUACCAACUGGAUAGACAAAACCCUUGAAUCCUCUGUCACUCUCUCAUUUCGGACGUCUUUUGUACGGGAAGAAUAUGUCUUCAACAGUGUCUUUUAUCUGGUUCCCUACUCUCCUCAUGUUCCUCGUAACUCCUGACGCUACCAGGUUAGCGUUCCUUGUAAACCUGAAAGACGAAGCCCCAGCUGCUUUGGUUACAAACAGUGCUUAUGCACGGAACAUAAGUUAGUCGCGUUGGAAGUUGUAUCCACUUGCCUUUUUAAGAAGUCGUCGGCUGGAAACUGUGUUGGUUUAGGCGUCUGAAUCUGAGGAGGACGUGACUCCCGCUCUUCUUCAAAACCACAGACAACAAAAAUGUAAGUCCGAAAACACAUGUAAGAUGUAAAUCUGUUCGAAAUUGAACAGAAUAGUCAUGGAUUGUUCUGAAUAGAUGACAGCAUUACUGGGAUUUCCUAUAAUUAGUUGAUUCAUUGUUAAUAAUAGAAACUUGGAAAAAAGACCCUGGAAAUCUCUACCGGAUUACGAAGGAGCCAGCAGCAAGGGGGGUAAAGACAACCUUUCUAGAAAAAAACAUAGUUCUGCACCUUGUCUAUGGUGAGCAGGAGCUGGACUAUGGUGAACAGGAGCUGGACUGCGAGCAUCCGUGGCAGUCACUGGUUUUCUAUUAAUGAGAAGCUGCAAAAUAAUCGGUACUAGUCAGACUAGACUUCCUACCGUAUGUAAAAGAGUACUGAAAUUACUUUCCCUAGGCGAAAACAUAUAGCAACUGAAAAUGAUAGGGGUUACCGGUUCACGUUAACAUGUAGUGCGAGGUUUAGCGAUGGCAUCAAUGAAAGAUGAAAGUUCUAGAUACGCCAUAACAAGCAGGUAAUUGUUGAAAUAAAACGAGACACUCCAUAGAAUGAAUUAUUGAAAUUUCAUCGUGAAAGAAGAGAUACCUCCAGGCCUAAACAGACAGGUAAUUGCGUCUUUGACUCCUGUUUAUCUGCUAAAUGGUCAUCCUUAAUGUAUACAGAAUAUCCCGCACACCCGUAGUAGAAUUUACUGUUCUCUACACCAACUGCCUCCUCAUUUUUUCCAAUAUAGUUUGGCACUAAGCAUUAAACAUCAGUGCAUAUCAGAGUGUUAAUAGAGACUAAAAAGACAUCCAUCAGCAAUAAGACCACCUCAAGAAUUCAAUUGCAAGGCAAUAAAAGUAAGCACAAUAGCUUCAAGCAACAAGUCAAAUCACCAAGCUGUAAGUGGUUCAAAAUUGAGCUUAAGGAAGCAAAUCAAUUAGCUUAUUGACUACAGAGAAGUUCACUCCAAUAGAGAAAAUACAAUUUUUCAAAAGACAAGGCAAGACCUUCACUCAUAUAAGAUCAACAGUUCAACCAGAGUAGUGGGAUGAGACUUCAAGAAAGACUAGCUCUCCAUAGAGGAUGGUUUGGGGAAAAGAGAUACUGCCAAAAGAUAUAUGAACCAGAUAAAGGUGGAUGGAGUAUUGCUAAUUGAUGUCCUCUGUGUUGUUGUGAUUCAAAAUCAGCUUCUGCAAUUUAUCAUUCAUUGCAUCUAUACAAGCAACGUUUCGGAUUAUUUCUUCACUCGGUCUCUCCAUCAAUAGACCACACACAAGAGAUACACAAGACUGUAUAAUUACGUAGAAUUUAUGUGCAAGUGGAGGUGAAUUGAAAAAGUUUAAGGUCAGCCCUUCAUCAGUAUUUCAGAAGAUUUAGCUGAAUGAUGGAUCAGCUAGUCCUAAUCAGCUCAUCACAAGCAUUUGCAUAUACAAUGCUUCGUUGCUGCUUGGUUCCAGCAAAAAUUUCCAAUGAACAAGGCUGGUACAGGAUAGUGGAGGUGAUUUGGCAUUUGGUUAUGAUAUUUCAUGUAUUGAACAUCUCGUGUAUGCCAAUGAUUUUGUUGAUCAAUUCCAGAUUUCAUCAUUAAAAAAAAAAAGAACAACAAGGAUGAUGCUGGUGAAGCAAAAUUGGAGGAAACGGUUCAGUUAUUCCACAAGGGAUGAUAGAUAGGUUAAGACAGAGCAAAGAUACUCGCAUGGUUGUGAAGCUUUAGGAUCAACCGUGUUACUGUUUAGCGUUUAGGAAAGGAAGCAAAGAAAAGAGAAGAGGGGGAGCAGUUACCGGAAGGGAGGGUGCGAGGGAUGCCGAUGCAUCGAGGAUUCUUGCCGUUGGAUUUGAGGGCGGUAGUAUAAUAAAGGUAACCCGAACAGGAUUUCCCCUUCAAACCUCCUCCGUCUGCUGCACGCUUGACUUCCUUCAGAUUGUGGAUUUGAUUAGCUUUCUGAUCGUCCUCGCCUCCGCCACCAUCGAAUUCUUUAGUCGGCUCCAUGGCGGUCAGCGUAUUUCUCUUAUUCUUCUUCUUCGUUUCUUUCUUUUGCUGUUAAUUUGGGCUUUUUCCCUUUUGUUUCUCUUUCGCCUCUCACGCUACCGCUUAACGACGCCGUCCAGGUCGAGUCCCCACGUCUCCAGAUUCCGUAGGCAUGGCCUCUACUUCAUUUUGUCUAGAUGAUUUGGAUGUCACUUAUAUCAUACAUUAAAAAUCUGUUUAACCGAAAUUAAUUCGGUAGGUGAAAUAGUCGAUAUAUUUGAUGAAAUCUGAUAAUCGGUUAAAAUGGUUAAACCAUCCGUCGGUUAAAUGAAAAAGUGAAUUUAUCUCUAAAUCAUAAAUGAUAUUACCCCAAUUUGGCAUCAAUCUAUUGGUUAAAUUAGUCGGCCGGUUAACCCACAGUUAUUUAACCAUGACGGUUGGUUAGUUAAUCUCCGACCAUAUUCGGUCAGUUAAGGAGGUUAGCCGGUCAGUCGUGAAAUUUCUAUUUUAACUGACCAAAACCGACAAUUAAUAACCGAAUUAGCCAAUUCUUCAUACCAACAAACAUGAACAAUAGAAUAUAACAGUAGACUAUAGUCCUGAUCUAUAUAAUAUUCCUCAACACGAACUUCAAACAAAAUUUCGGAACUAUAACAAAAGAUCGAAGUUUGCACUAAAUAACUAAACCCCGGGGCUAACAAAAUAUGAUUUCUGAACUUUUCGAUCAAAUGCCUUGAUAACACAUGGAGAACCAGUUACAUCAUAGUUUGUUUGGAAUCGAUAUUAGUUGAAUUUCCCUCGAAAAAAAUAUAAAAGAGAGAAACAGAUACGAGUUGAAGAAUCUAAGUGCCGCGAUCAAACUUGCUUAUUGCUCACAUUCUGUUACCAAAAUCAGCUUCAUGAUCGACUGAUUUCCGUCAACGGACGCAUAUUGUUUUUACAUACAAUUACAACAUCCACGAAGAAGAGGGAGUGUGCAUUCACUUCAGGCCUUUGCUUUCUAGUGGUAACCUUUCCGCAUUAACAUGUACAAAACGUGCUUCCACUAUAGUACCAAUACACACAGCUCCUGCACUACUCUUCUCCUUUCGAAGCACCAGGGCGUCGACUUGGGCUCAAGGGAGCGUUCCUGAAAACUGGGAAAUACGUGUCCAAAUCCAGUUGUUCCAAAAUGUCCUGUGUGGCCCAGAGAUACGAGGAGUGGCCUUCAAUGUAUUCAGUAACAUCAACCUGCAGCAGAAUCAGUUUCGUUUUCGAAAUAAGAUGGACUUCCACAGAGCUCUCUCAGUUGAGUAAAUAAGGGAUGUGAAGGAAUCAAACUUACAUUCUCAAUUCCAGGGACUUCUAUUGGCUGAAUCCCGGCUAAGCCUUGUGUAAGUAGGCUGCCAAGGAAAAAGGAAACAUAUUAGCUUACAGAGGAUAUCAAUGCCUUUAUGCGUUUGCUUUCAUAGUUAAGGAACAAAGUUUAUAUAGAUUAUGAUAACAAUGUGAUUCUAAUCCCAUACUUUGCUCGGAAAGCAAUUCCAAGCAUCCAGUCGUUUGUUGAGUAGGCAUUCACAAAUCUUCCUGCUACCAUCUGCAAUAAAGUGAAAGCAGAUGAGACAUCUUUAUCGGUGGUUAGACAACAAUGCGGCACUGCCGAGUGAGUGUUGGCUGACGAAAGAAUCACCUUUCUUGCAGCUUCCCAGUUCUCGUCUUUGAUAGCCACGGGAGCUCCCAGGAGAACAACUCUCUCUACUAGUUCAGCUGUUGUUUUUGCAAGAAAUGCAUAAGGAUCUAUCAAAUCAUUUUACUGCAUGAAUCUGAUAUUAUCAGAGUUAUUACCGCUGUGUUCUGUUUCGGCCAAUGUCUGGAGACACUUGAAGAUCACUCGAGCUCCAAGCGAGUACCCCACCAGCGUAACAGGCCUAAAUGAUUUAAAGAUAAAUGAUGAGGAUCUUCCUUUUACAUUAUCAGAAAAGAGGCCAGGGAUAGAGUUUAUCACUACCAUAAACUACGUGUUUAACAACGGUAUUUUAUCUAUUUUAACAGUGAAUAGUCCCCUGUUAGAAAUCCACCGUUAAGUUAAGUAAUGGUAAAUAUGUUAACGGCGGAUUUUUAUCUAUUGUUAAACUAACAGCGGAUUUUAUCCCCCGUUAAAACUAACAUCGGAUAAAAUUCACCGUUAAACUUUUUGUCCGGUAAUAAAAAAACACAGAAACCCAGCUCGUUCUUCAUUCAUCGUUUUUCCAGUCAUAUUUUUUUUUUCUUCUUCUUCAAUUCUUAUUCGGUUCUUCCUCUUAUUCUUCGAUUCUUCUUCUUCUUAUUCUUCGAUUGUUUUUUUUCUUCUUCUUUGAUUCUUCUUUUCCUUCUUCUUCGAUUCUUCUUUUCUUCUUUGAUUCUUCUUCGAUUCUUUUUCUNNNNNNNNNNNNNNNNNNNNNNNNNNNNNNNNNNNNNNNNNNNNNNNNNNNNNNNNNNNNNNNNNNNNNNNNNNNNNNNNNNNNNNNNNNNNNNNNNNNNNNNNNNNNNNNNNNNNNNNNNNNNNNNNNNNNNNNNNNNNNNNNNNNNNNNNNNNNNNNNNNNNNNNNNNNNNNNNNNNNNNNNNNAGUGAUUUUUUUAAAUAGUCUUUAAACCUACCGGCUUUUUUGAAUCCGCCGUUAAAUAUGUAUCGUUAAACUAUCAUUUUCUUGUAGUGUAUAGGCGAAAGCUACCUAUUCCCUUGCACUCCGUUUAUUAGCACUUCAGCAAGCAGCUUCCCAGCUUUGUCAGUCCUAAAAUGGUGGGAAACACAAACACAAGAGCAUCAAUUUUGUCAAUAAGAUUUAAGGAGAGUCAACUGGAUGCAUAAAAGAAUAGCUCCAUGUAAGAGGGAGUUAGCCCCACAAAACCCACAGGAUGAAGCAAACCUAUCAAUGGCAAUUGUCCACGUACUGUCGAUGAAGCUUGUAGCUGAAAGUAUUGUUGUUGGCAAGUAUAGGGCUGCCAUAAGUGCGGCCAUCACAGUCAGCAUCGCACCUUGCCUCAUCAGCUGUGAUGCAAUUGCUAAAAAGAUAAAAAAAAUGUCAACAACAAUACGAGCUGAGCUCACUUUAUAAGCACUUUACUAUAUAGCAGGAAUUUGGUAUGGAGAAAUUACUUGACGUAAACCAAUCCUGAAUUGCAGUGCUAAUUGCAAUUAGAUUCUUUGAUUCCCACUGCAGAGCAUACCUAAAACAUUAGUUGGUUAUAAGUAACCACUUCGGAUACAUAAUAUGUAAUGAUGCAUUUUAAGAAAAUGAAAUGAGGCAUGAUCCAACAUCAUUCAAAUCUGAUGAGAAAUAUGGAUGAACAUACCUCUCCAAGUUGUCAGUUAAUCCUUCCCACGGCUUGAAGAAAUCUUCCUCGUCAAAGAUAAAUCCAGAUAUCAUGAUUUCAACCGCUAGUCGCUGGUAAGAAAUAUAUCAGAAUCACAGCAUCAACUUUAAAACUACCAACAUGCAGAUUUAUCAGAUAUGCAAGACGAGCAAAAGAAAGACUACAGCCUCUAGAUAAACAAGCUUACGCCUUGAUUAUGGCUGUCUCCCAUCGUUUUGAACUCAAAUUCUUCUAUGCUUCCAGUUCUUCGAGCCAUCUUGGUCCCUGCUAGGCCAGCUCCGGCAGCUGGCUUAAUUGAAAUAUGUCAAACAAAAGGCUGGAGAUGUGAACUUUUCCCUUACAUGAGAUUAUUCAGUUAUUCUUGAGCACAAGAUGGCAUGAUAACAGCAUAAAUUGAAAGAAAUCUAUUUGUCAGAGAAGUGGACAGAACAAUUUCUAACUAUACUUGAAGAGAAGAUCAAUCCGGCAGUCCCCCUAUUCAAAAGGUAAAUUGAUAGCACAGACUCCCUGGAUACUCUACAUAAGAGUUUUCAAAACCUCCAACGAUUUUUAUGUCCCUUGGGUCAAUGUGAAAUAAUUUUCAUUUAAGUUCUCUAUUCUCAUUAGUGUUUCAUGUGACACAGACUCGAUAUUUGAUUUCUUUCACGAGCAUGCCAACCCAAACUGCCUGGUAACUUGGCAUGAGGAGGGAAAUGUUCCCGGCUUACACACAGCCAAAGCUUGCCCAAGUCAGCCUUAUACUGAACCAACAUAGCAACAGGAAAUGGAUGAACUAUCUUAAAAUUAAAAUUUCAAGAGCAGGCAAACAUUCACCUCCAAAUGAUGCAGCAACAGCAACAGAACCAGCUACCGUUCCUGCAGCUGUUGCAGCUGCUGCGAACCCACUUGCUCCAAUCACAGGUAUAAGAGUGCCCAAAGUUGGAGCUAGGGCACCAAACCCUGCAGCAAUUGCAGGAGCAGCUAAACCUGUUGUAUGAAAAUGAUGUGAAAAGACACCAAUAAACUAGUUAAAUGGUGGGUCUUAGGCCCUACGUUAUACUGGAAACACAAGAAACAAUUAAAAGAAGAAAACUGGUCCAGUAUGCCUCAUUACCGCCAGUAAUCGCCAUUAAGGCUCCUCCAGUUAUUGCAGCUGCACCAAUGAUGCUACCACGUUUGAUUUUAGCCCAUUUGCUUGAAGAUUGGGUUUCUUCCUUUGACUCUUGCUGUUUCAGAAUAGCCAUUGCUGAGCAAGCUACCAUUGUCUCGACGGCUUCCUAUAGACAAAGUAAUGGACGUGGGUAUCAACACUACCACAAAUCAUAAUUUGACGGCAAAUCAUUUUUGCAUGAUAAGUAUAAAUCACACAAAAUUAUUCUAAUCAAGGACAACUAUCAACCAAGUUCACCAACCAUUUUUAUCCAACUGAUAUCCAGCCAUGUUGACAGCAGCCUCAAAGCCACACGAUGUCUAGCAUCAUAACCCUUUCUUCGCCUAGUACUCGACUUGCUGUCAUUGUGUAUAUCUGCCAGGCAAGCUGAAAGAAGCUCAUAAAGAACUGUGACUUUCCUGUGGUAACUAAUCAUCAUUACCUCUUCAAUAGGUUUAUCAUCAACUUUGAUGCUCGAGUCCUUGUCCGGACUCCUAGGGCUAUUAGAACUAGGCGUAGUAGAGGCAGUCUCAUUUGGAGAAAAAAAAGGUACGUCCGGAGCAUCAGAAUCAGGUUGCUUAUUGUCAGAGGAUAAUUUCUCACGACACUCAUUUUCAUACUCUCGAUGCUUCUUCUUCUUAGACCUGUACGACACUCGGUUAGUUUCCAUGGUUUGUUCUGUAGCAUCAAUAGCUUUUGACAGAGCAAUCUCUUUAUCAGUAUUCUGAGAAGGGUCGUCGCUGUCUUCAGUAAGUAACCUCAAGAACUGGAGGAGACAGAAAGAAGAUAUCAUAUGGACAGACGAUCAAGUAAGAAAUGGACAAAGAAAGAAAUGAAAGCACGUACAGCUCCAAUAUGACGCCUAGCUGCAGCAGAACCAGCUGUCUCCUCCAGUCCAGACCAUGCAGAAGAAUCGAUCUCCAAAAAUCUGGUCCAUAGAAGUUCAAUUCAACACAGUUAAACACGGCUUGGACUUACAUGCUCUGAAACUCUGCUAAAAUGUAGAAUAAUUCAAUUCAGACACAACCUAAAUCCUUCAUUCUAACCAGACGAUCAAAUUCAAUAAUUGAUGAAGCAACGGGCAGUCGGAGAAGAGGAAAUUGGACCUGAAAACGAGGCGGAGGAGACCGGAUUUCUCGUGAACCCAAAGAUCAGGAUCCUCGGAAACGGAGUCGCUACUGUUACUACUAAAACUGGCUCGAUCGGCAUCGCCGGGAACUUCCUCGACGAACAGGCCCAAUGGGCGGGUUUGGUGGAUCUGCGCCUGAUGAAGAGCUAGGGCGAAUAAUGCUCCGGCGGCGUACCUCUGAGUCGGAGGCAGAAUCGACGGAGUAGAAGUCUCCAUGUAUAGAUGCAAAGGAAAAUUUUAGAUGAGAGCGCCAAUCUGCUAAGUAAAUUCCGCUACAGUCACGGAGAACAGUAAUACGCGCUGGAAAUUUGUUGAUGUAGUUGAAGAUCUGUGCAUCGGAGCCCGUCACGGAAGGCGGUUUGAAUUGAAAAUGGCAAUCCAUUUUUAUUAUUUUUUAUACGUCGCCGUUCCCCGCGUCAAAUUUGAAAACGACAAAAUAGAUGUCUGAUAUGACGAGUUGGAUUCCAAUAAAAUUGUAGUCAUUACUCAUUAAUUAGGUCGGAAAAUUGAACUUUCUACUUUGUGAAGCCAAGUAGCAAGACAUCUCGUUUUGCAUACAAAAACAAUUCAAUAUUAUUAUAUCAUACGAUGGUUAAAUUUGAUUGAGCCAAUCAUUUCAUCGCUAUAAUUAUUUAUUAUAAUAGACAGACAAUUUAUGUAUAAUUAUUUAUUGUCGAAACAAGAUCAAAAUGUUACUAUAAAAAAAUUAAUCUUAAAUCAAUCGACAAUGACAUAUUCAAUUCAACAAUUACUAAUAUUUAUGUGUAUAAUUAAUUCAAUUUAAAAGUUAUUCCGUAAAUUAUUAAUGCUCUGUGCAAUGUAUUUUCUUACGAACAAUAUAUUUUUUCAACAAUUAGGUGAAAAUUAACUCAUCGCCUUAUUAAAACACUGUAAGCCCUCCACCACCGGCUUAAACCAAAUACUCUAGCAAAAAGAGGAAAGGGAGAUUGAGGAGCUGAAGGUGAAUAGAAUCCUAUAGUACGCUUGUUCAAAGGAAGGAAUGAAAAAAACAAUUGUCUCGAGCCUGAAGAAACUACUAAUGGAGUGUGGACUGUGCUAGAAUUGCUAGUGGAACUUUGUACAACACUUGAUGAUGAUGAUGCGUGCAGUAAAAACACAAAUACAAAUAGCAUGUAACUUGAACAUGUACAUGUGCACAAUUAUUAUUCUACGCUCUAAACUCCCCACAAGCUCUGAUUAAAUCAUGACUCAUCACACUUGACAAAUUGCAGAGGAGGACACUUUUAUAAUUCAUAACAAAUCAUGGAGCCACUCAUGGCCAUCAAUGAAACCAAGUGAAACAAAAGGCUCAGCCUCAGCAUCAGUAAGCUCCCUGGACCACGGAACCCUUCCUCCAAAAUUAGCUCCUGGACCCCAACAUUUAUACUGCCCGUAAAACACAGUCCUGCCAAACACAAAAAACGUCAAACUUACUCAUAAUUCAGUCAAUUAAAGUUCACGGGUGGCUGAAGCUGAAACUUUCACUUACAUUUCUCUGUUUUUAUCUCCCCAGUCGUACCACCCUUGCGGAGUGAUAAUCUUAUCCAUGAAAGUGUAAGCGAACACUACUCUGGAAAAAGACCCCCAUGCCCUUCCGAGGUACAGAGCUCCGGAGCCAGUCACUUUGCAUUUCACGAAUGAGAACCCUGUUUCCUCCAGCAGGCUCUCCCUCUUCUGCGCCGUCAGAGCUCCGAAGGUGUUGGUUAUGGCGUGCAAGUGGCAGUUCUCGUACAGAGACAGGCCGUUCCCGAAUACGAAGUCUACCGAUCCUUCGAUGUAGCAGUGCUUGAAGUAGUGCCUCCCUAGGUGGUCGUACAGAGUGUCCUGUGCUCCGAUGAACUUGCAGCCUAUGAACGCCGCGUUGUCUCCUGAUAUCCUUAGCGCCACCGCUUGCUUCCCUAGUGCCCCUGACGGUGGCGGAGGCGCAUUGUUCUGUAGGAAAAAUAUUAAAACCAAUGAUGAUGUUUAAUGUCAAGAUUUGUAUUGUCUGAUAAAGCCAGGGCCGUUGUGGGUCAAGUCGCUCAUGAGCAGGUUGGCGUUCGGUUCGAAUAUACAGCUCGUUUGUGAUUCGUUUGAUUUUAGAUGAGUUAGGGUAAGUUCAAGUCGCUAAAUUUGCAAGCUGACUCGAGCUCUAGAGUUAAUUCGAAUACUAAUUUGAGUAUAUGGAUCAUAUACUUAAAUCAAUAAUGCAAUAUAUAUGACAAAUUAUAUAUAAUUUGUGGUCUUAUUAAUGAAAAUGUGAAUGCUAUAUUGUUCGGGGUUAAUUAUUUUAAUUGAGAAAAAAGAAAUUUAUAAAUUUUAGGAUAGUAGUUUUUUAGUUUUUAAAUUGAGAAAAGAAAAAUUUGUAAAUUUGUUUUUCAGUUCGAUUUAUUAAUAUAUUUUAGUGUACAAACUUAAAAUCCAAGCCAAAAUGGACUCAUCAGAGAUUUUUAAUGAGCGAAGUUCGAGUUUAACUCGAGUUUGGCUCACAAUAAAUAGUUAACAAGUCACGCUCGAGCUCAUCAUGAGCUAAAAAUUUUAAAUCGAUUUCCUAUUCUAGUCGAACUCGUCUAAAAAAAAAGUCAAAUUUAAAUCAAAUAAAAUUCAACUCUGCAUCGAUUCGUAAAUCCUUUAAUAAAGCUAAUAAGGAAAAAGUUGUGUUCUUUACUCUUUGUCUUUAGUACCCUUAAUUAAGUCUUACAGAAAAAGUAACAUCUGAAUUUAAGGAAAAAUGACCUUGAAGGUGAUGUUCUCGGCAAUGAAGUAAGGAGAAUUGACAGCAAAAGUUGCAGAACCAAAAGUUCCCAGAGGAUGCCCAUUGGCCCCAAUUCUGUCAGCUGUAUCAUCCCACUCUAUGAUGGUCUUCCCAGUACCAGCUCCUUUCAAGGUUAUGUACGCCAUUGUUGUCGGUAUCUCAACCUUCUCCCUGCAAAUUAAUCAUCACUCAUCAAAAGACGAGAUUUUCCAAAAUUCCUAAAAAGCUCUGUUCUAAUAUAAAAACCACCUCACCUGUAAGUUCCUUUGCCAAUGGAGAUGACAACUCGGCAGUCAUUCACUACAGGGAUGGACUCUAUGGCCUUACGCAGAGUCGGGAAUACUCUGCUUCUCGACGUUCGUGAGUGUUUCUUCUUCUUCUUCACUUUCAAAGUCAAGCAAGGCCUCACCUUGUUCAUGGGUUUCUGAAACAGAGCAUGCUUGUUUAAGGACGAUGCCAUGCUCUUCAGCCACGUGGAGUAGCCGCCGUCUGAUGGUUCAGCAAUAGCCAGCGUGUUCCUGUCUUCAGGGGAUGAUAAUUCCUCUGACCCAAUUGGAUCAACCAGCAAUAACAUCAACAGAAGUAGCUUCAGCCGCAUCAUCAUUAGCAUUUGGAAAGGGGGAAAGAAGGUAUUAUGUCUCUUCAGAAGAUAAGAAAGAGAGAGGAUAAUAUAGUUAAGAAGAACUCUGCUAACAGACAACAAUGGCAGAAUAGAAUAAUACAAUAAGGGUAAUAUGUUGUCUCUCGUUAGACGCUUGGUUUACUCAUUGGAAGGACCUGGCAGAGAGACUGACUGUCAGGAUGACGGUUGUUCCAUCUUGUCUGUUGUGUUCUUUGCCAGAAUGUAGAAAAUUCUCAUAUACAGGUCAUGUUUUUGCUUGCUUCCAAGAACUGGUGGACUUAUUAUCAGAAACAUGAAAGAGGGAGGAGAGGUCCGCAAAUGAGAUCUGUGUUAUGUGAAAGACAUUUGGGUAUGGUGUUAAAUUGUUUGUGUUGAAAAUGUAGACUUGAUGGCGUGAGAAGUAGUGGGUAGGGAAGGAGGCAAAGGCAAACAGCAACAUGUGUGUAUGGAAAAAGGUUAGUGUAAUUGUCCAGAGGGAGUGAGUACUGAGGGUAGUUCUGAUAUCUAUUUGUGAGAAGGUGGCAACAUGGGAGGGAGAAAGGAGAAACGGUUUAUGUGUUGGUUUUGGUAAGGAUGAAUGGUUUUGAUGUGAGAUGACAAAAGCUCCAUGUUCAUGAUGAAGAUGUGACACUAGUUACGUCCUUUUUUUACAUCACUAUAGUAAAAUAGUGCUAGGUUAUUGUAUAAGGUUGAUGCCAAAAUAUGGAGAGUUACUAUUAGUCUUCUUAGAAUGUGAAAUUUGAUUGUCCUAAAACGAAGAGAAAUAACUUAAAUAAUAUAGACGUUUAAACAAUACCCACUCUUCUUUUUCGAUGAUAAUCACAAUUAAUCACUUUCAAUUACCAUUAUUUUUUGAAAAGAAACUUAUUUUCGGUAGUGGGGUCAACCGACGAGGAUUGAUUGUGAUUAAUCUUAAGGAGAAAGAGAGUGACAUGAUGAGAAAUCUUGAUUUAAUCUCGAAAAAAGUGGAUUGGGUUAUGGGUUUCUGACUGAGAAUUAGCUAUAGGUAAAGUGAGAUAUGACGUGGACAGACACUUUUAAAUUAAUUGAAUAAGAAUGUUGAUGAACUUUGUUUUGCCGGAAAAGUGAGUUGCAAACUCAGAGGGCAGGGAUAGGACGGAUUUAUAUUUUACUUAUUUGAAGGUAACAUGUUAUGUUACGUAAAGAGAGAAAAAUUACAGUGACGAUGAGAUACCAUACUAAAGAAAAAGAGAGUAGUGUCAAGAUAACAAAAAACCACAUGUGCCCACUAGAUAGGUUGUGUAGUUAUCCAUACGAGAUAUGGGGAAGGUAAACAAAAGGUAGGGACUGAAAAAGAUUGAUACAUUCUGAUAGGAGCUAUCAAAAUCUAAUGUUUUUGGUAGACGAAGUAAUCAUACAAACUACUUGCGUUGAAUUCAAAAAAAUUGAAAAUAAUUCAAGGUAAGAGAUGUUAACGACAUAAAGUGCUUAUCGAAUUGUCAAGAACUCAAAAACUAAAGAUGCCACCAAAUGUGGAGCCACUUGCCCCAUAGCCGAUACCAAAGACCUACAAGCUCGAUGCACCACCGACCCAAUAGCACCAUAACCCGAGUAACAAGUCACGUGGAUGGAUUUGUUAGGUUUUCAAACGUUUGAGGCGCAUUUGUUAUGUCAAAAGAAAUAGAAUGAUUUUGUACGAAAAUUGAAAUGUACGAGGAUUACAAACGCUAUCAGUCUAUCGUCUUCAACCGAAGUCCAAACUUCAGCCAUUUCCAUCCCCCUGGCCCUCAGAAUCAUUCCGAAGGGUUUAGCGUUUCUCCUCCAUCUUCAAGACUCCGCCUCCGCCUUUCCGCCGCCGAAAUCCUGUAUCUCUGGCAGGUAACUUCUCGCUGCGUCUUAUCCGUACUCAAUCGCCACAUAAACUUCAAUUUCUUUCCAGCAAUUGAAUUGUAAAUUCAUUACCGCUUGCCGAUUGUGGAUCCUUUCUACUUCCGUCUUUACCUUAAAUGCUGUUGAUUUCGCCAAAUUUCGUCCUGUCCAGUAGGGUCUGGAUUGCCAAAGGUCUUAGCUUCCCGUUUGAAUUAUGCUUUGUUGAUAGAGGCUCGGUGUAGAGAUGAGUAUGUCUGGACUGGCUCUUACUCCCACGAAGUGCGGUCCCCGGACGCCUGUAAUUGGCUUGACGUGUUCAAGCCGUCGAGCUUCUCACUUUUCCUGUGUCGAUAGAACUCGAGAACAGAAGAUUGGAUUGCCCCCGGUGCGAAGGUAUUGUGUUUUGACUUUUGACUUCCCUUCAACUUUGACUCAACUUCAUGGGCCGGUGGUUAUGGGAAAUGAUGAGUUUGUCUGGUGGUGCUGUGCAGAAGUUGGGAUGCAUUGGUGCAAAGAUGCAAUCUGCGGCGAACUUACAUAGUCAAAAGCGCUAUGGAUGCUUCCUAUGGUGGAGAUAGGACGGAUAAAGAAUCUGGUACUCAUGAAUCUUCUUGGUGGAAUGAAUCAAAAUUUUAUAUAUCUUCUGUUUCAAUGUUUGAUGAGGUUCUUUCUUUGUUUUAGCUGAAAGGUUGUUUUAAUGCCAACAAAUUGGGGAACUUUUCAGUCCAAAUAGAGAAGCUUAGCUUGACUGUUUAAUGGGGCCUUUACAUUGUUUUAGCUGAAAGGUCAUUUCAAUGUCAACCAACUGGAUAACUUUUCAGUUUAAAUGGGGAAGCUUAUCUUUCCUGCAGACCUGAUGGCAUGUUUCAAUGUCAAGAAUCUGUCUCACUAACAGAAUAGUGUCCAAUUUUUACUCACUGAGCCGGUUAAAUUGUUGAACUUUUUCAACUAUAUAAUAUGGAUGAGCUUAGGAAGUUAGUCGAUGUCCUGGUAUGUGUUUCCAAUUCUGCAACUAUGUCUAUGGUAGUAUAAUGUAGGUAUAUGGACCUCCGUCGACAUUCUUUUUUAGUGGAAUGAAUUUUCUUCUUCGAGUGUUAGCCACAUGAAUAUAUAACAUUGUUCCUUGAUCACAUAUCAUACCAGCAGCAUUUGCUUCAGAUUUGAUGAACUCAUGAAUGUACUUUUUUGUCGAUAUUGGUAUGGAAUUUGCAUUACUCAUCCCUUAAAGCUUUUAUCACAAUUGUCUUUGCAAGCAGCUGUUUUCCCCAGAAUCCAUGUAAGGGACCCAUACAAACGACUUGGGAUAAGCAGGGAGGCCUCUGAAGACGAAGUUCAGAGUGCAAGGAACUUCCUGAUUCAGAGAUAUGGUGGACACAAACCAAGUGUGGAUGCAAUUGAAUCAGCUCUUGAUAAGAUAAUCAUGGAGAAGUAUCAUGAACGGAAGAACCCAAAAAUUGACCUCAACAAAAAGGUCAGGGAAGUAAAGCAAUCCCGGUUUGUGCAGGCUGUGACAAACAGAUUCCGUACUCCAUCCACAAUGGUUGUUGCUAAAACAGCAAUUGCAUUUCUCAUACUUGGAGCUCUCACCGUUCUGUUUCCAACCGAGGAAGGUCCAACCCUUCAAGUAGCAAUCUCUCUUGCUGCUACUAUGUAUUUCAUAUAUGACAGAUUGAAGAGCAAGCUCAGAGCUGUGCUUUAUGGGUAUGAAUAUGAUUUGUUUCCGCUUCUCUUUUGCCUUUUUGCCUAAUCUAAUCCAACUCUCUCUGAAAUGGUAAAUCUUUAAGCGUGUGAUUCUUGCCAUGUUGCAGGGCUGCAGCUUUCAUUUUCUCAUGGCUGAUCGGAACCUUCUUGAUGGUUUCCGUGAUUCCUCCGUUGCCGAUAGUCAGAGGGCCGAGGAGCUUUGAAGUGACGACAUCACUGCUAACUUAUGUGCUACUAUGGGUUUCCUCCACCUAUCUGAAGUAAUGCUGGUUCUGAAGAAGUAAUUGAUCCGUUUGAAAACUGCAAUUUUGCUGGAGCUGAAUGGCUAGACUAGUUACUGUUGAUUAUCUAGUUGAAUCUCCCUAUGUUUUCCUGUUAGAGCGUCAACACUUGAAGCAAGCAUUUGAAAUUUUUAUCGGUGGGAUUGAGUUGUGUAGGGUAAAAAUGCUUGUGGAAAGGAAAGACUUUCUGAUUGUAGUUGAAGAGAUGUAGAGCUAAAUGAAAGUGAAAAUAACCUCAUGUUGAGGGUUAUUAUCCGAUCGGCGUGUUUUUUAAUUUUUUAAUUAUUAUUUAUUAUUUAUCUUUGGCCAUACAUAGCUCUUUUAAAAAGAUUUAGAUAGUAGAUAUUACAGCCACGAUCUAAGGAUCUAAUCAAGCAGUGAGAUUAAUUUUAACGCGAUUUAAAACAUAAAAAAGUCUUUCACGCCACAAAUGGACAGCUUAGUUACCUUAACCACCACACCAACAAUAAAUUUUGAGACACGAGGAUGGGGUCGGUCCCAAUCAGCUUAGUAGAUUAUUAAAUAUUACUCCCGAGUUUGAUUCUUACAGUUUUCAUCUUUAAGCUUGUCUCCCGUUGAUCACCGAGUCCCACGUGAAAUCGACGGUAAGUAAUUGGUAAUGCAGAGUUCAUGGGCAAGAGUCGAAAUAAUUUUAUGCAUGGAUGAAAUUUUUUCGAAUUAUGUAAUGUUGUUGGAUUACUAAAGGGCUAAAGGGAUCUUCUAAAGGGCAAUUCACUAAAUUCUUAGCUAUCAAUAAAGUCAACGAUCUUGUACCUUUCACUUAUUGUAAUUACAUCAGACGGUUUAAAGUUUUCUGCCACUUAUAGUGAGCUCUGGGCUUCAGAAGCUCCUACACGUUAAUAACAUCUGGUCCAGCUUUCUGUACAAUAUAUCGUAGUACAAAUUACAGUACAAAGAUCGAAACCCAAGGCGUGAAGCCAGUGAAAGGAGUCGUCCAGAAACACAUGGAUCUCUGCAGGACUACAACAGUUACAUUGCCAUGUAGCCCCUACCACUAGAGACACACUCGGACAACCACAAGUCCAUGUGUUCAAUGAUCUUUUGCCUUACUUUCUGCACCGCGUCAGGCGAUGUGCAAUUCUCUGCAUUCCCUGAAAUAUGGAAAUCGACAAUGCUGAGACCAAAACAGGGACAAGGGAAGUCUGGUGGUAGCACUAGGUACAUUCUGCAUACCUUCUAUGUUUAGAGGAGAUUGAGGACAUCCUCGCAUAUCAGUUCCAUGGCCACAGUUGUGACAAGUUAUCAAGUACGAAGGCACUGGAAAUUUUAAUAAGUAUGUGUUAACUCAGAUGCUUAGUUACACACGGAUAUGAAACUUCAGUGACCAGAACAUUGAUUUCAUUGCAGAUGCAUGAGUUCCAAGGCCAGAAACAACAUGUAGUAAGGCUUAGAGGUCAAAAACAUAGUGUAUGGGGAUCAGUCCAAAUUUGCUUUUAAGAAAUGCAAUGCUAUAGAUGACAGGGACCAGUCCAAAUUUGCUUUUAAGAAAUGCAAUGCAGUGUACUUACUUGUCGAGGAUGAAAUCUGUUUAGAUGCAUGCCGCCAGGGAUCUUGUGAGCCAUUUGUAAAUACAAUCUUUGAACCUGUAUUAUGCAACAAGCCAUAUAUGAAGGCAGCCAAUGGUCAACGAUCAAGAUGGAAAGAACAAUCCUUGAGGGUUCGUUUGGGUUAUCGGACCCAGAAAUAGGUGGAAACAGAAAAUACAUUAGUCCUUCCAUCAAGACCCAAGGAGGAAACAGAAAAUACAUCAAGUCCUCACAUUUUUAGUUGUAUUGAUUUGUUGUUCUAUAAAGCAACGGCAGGUCAAACUUCAAACUCCUAAAUUCUGUAUAACUUUGAACUUUGAAGGCAAUUAAUUAACCAUAUUCAUUUUAUGAUUCUGACUAACGACACUAAAUUGUUGCAGUUUUAGCUUGAAGUAGCAUUAGAUGAUUAUGCUUAAAGGAAAAGGAUUUUGUCUAGACCUGCAAUCUUUGUUCCCCCAUAAUAUAUGUUCGUUGCAUCAACCUCAGGAUAGACGCCCUCCCCAAAAACGUUCUUGCAGAGGUCCAAAUGGUAUCUGCGACAUAUCAUCAAGUAAAUUUUGUUGUCUAGUGACUAGUUGAGACCAAGAAAAUAAGGAACCGGGAUCUACCAACUUCUGAUGAACGAUAAACAUCUGAUGACUAAAAAGGAGAAGAUAAGACUUGCCUUGUGUCAACUUUUGAAGAACGAAUGCUAUCAUUUGCUGGAGCCACUUGAAAGUAUGCAACUUCAGUACAAACUUGGAACCACCACAACCGAUCGGAAGGAUCUUCGGUGAGAGUGGGAUCUUUUAGGUGGGUCUGAUCAUAAGUUUUAACACUGGUCCCGAAUGUUCCAAGAAAGUAGUCAUUUACAUACUUGGCAUAUGCAGCCUGCACUAAAUUUCAUCAAUUAGAUAACACGUGUAAAGCAACCAGCAACAUACAUAUGGCCUCAGUGGUUUGCAUGGUGCCUAUAAAGGAAGGUCGAAAUAAAAAGAUAAAAUUGAUGAACUUAAUUAAUCUAAGGAACUUCCUAACCAUAUAAGCCCCCAAUUUCUUAAGAGAUAUGUCUCUGGUUCAGCCAAUCUCAUGAACCAAAGUCUUGAACUAUAUCAAUGCAUGUAAGUAACUCUGUAUUUUUUGUUAAAAGUGCCCAGUUAACGUGAACUUACCAACAGAUCGUCUCCACCCUUCUUAGCUUGAACAAGCGGAUCACAUAAUACAUCUGGAUUCCCAUACUGAAACUGGAAAAGAAGACAGCGAAAUUGUUAGUUCUAAAAUAUGUAGAGCCAAGUGAAACAAAACACAAAAAGAGCUACACUGACCCCAAUAACUGCAGCAUCCGCUAGAAAAUACAGGAAAUCACCAUCAAUGUUAAGCUGCAAACACCAUCGGAAAAAAAAAAGAACGGGGAGGGCUUAGAAAAGAUUAGAAACCGAACAAUGAUUCUAUUCACCCAUUUUUGGUCUGAUAAUUUGCUCAAAACAAUCUUUGGUCCGAGAAGAAAAAACCAAACCUCGGUUGCACCAAACAGUGACUUCACAGAUUCUGUGUUUGAUGCAAGACCUUGAUCAACAAGCUUUGUAACAUCCUGAAGGGCUGCUUUACAUUCAGGACCAGCUGACACACCAAUCUGCAUAAUAUAUGUUAGAUGAAGGUUUUAACCAUAGGAAUCUAAACGUUUAAACAGAGUUGAAAAAUUAUAAUACCUGCUGGUCAAACUCUGUAUAGUUAUAAACAGCAAGAACAACUGCCGAACUAGCAAGACUCCCGCAUGUUAAGUGCGGGAACUUCAGACGAAACCAUGCACUAAGAGCCCCGGAAUACGAAACACCAAAGAAAAACCAUGGAUUUUCCACUCCUGUUCUGUUAAGUUUCACAUUCAGCGAGUCCUACAUAGCAUACGACAAGAUACGUCACAACAAUGGAAAAUAUGUGCAGACAUUUCUACUCUCUUGACACAUCCGAAGGAUUCUAGUUCUUACAGUUGUACUGCAUAUUCUGUCAAAUGAUCUUCAAACAAGAAAAAUAAAGGAAACAGAACUGAGAAAAAUGCAAAAUCACUUGCCUGAUAAUGCUGCCUAAAAAUAGCCAGGUCAAAGAGUGCCUGCUUGGAUGAAAGGUAUCUCAAAUUUUCAGUUUCUAAGGACUUAAAGGGCGAACUUUUUCCAUAAUAUCGGUGUUCCAGUGACACAACAGCAGCUCCAAACUUCUUUGCCAGAACCUGUAUAAGCUAAUAACGUUUAGUUGAAACCUAGAACUAGAGUAUCUGAUAUACACUGAUCUGAUAUUCAAUCAAGUGCCUAGAUUCCACAACUAACUCCUAAAUCCGAACCAGAACUCCCUGGAUCAGUUAGUAAGUUAUUGAAGGAAAGAAUACGACUUACGCCAAGAUAGUCAUUUUGUAUGCCACUGCAAGGACCUUCCCCACAAAUUGUCAGAAAGAUGGGUCCAUUGGGAGCUCUGAAGUGGUCCAAAAACUCAUAGUAGCGCUGCUGGAACCUCCGGUGAUCCUGCAAAACGCAAAAAUCAGUCAAACAAGAACAUAUUCGUACACAAACACACAAAGCCAACUGAUCGGAGAUUAAAACCUAACCCAAACCAGAUUCAAGCAGGAACCUUUGCAUGAAUAAUAUAGAACCCAGGUAACAAAAAAUCAGAACUUUCCCGAUUAAUUCAAUAUCAAAAGGCAAGAGUUGAAGCAAAGGAGAGAUGAGUUACAAAUGGGGAGAAAUGAUCGAGCGUCUGACUGAACCACAAUUCAUUAGUAGUUAAGUACUUGGAGGCAGCGAUUCCAGUGAGGCGAGGGCGGUUAAUCAAAGCACGAGAUUCGAGAAAGCCAUAAGACAGCGUUGAAAGCAUAAAAUACAACAGAGACGCAACCAACAGGAGCGACUUCAUCCUAUGUUUGCUCUCUUUUCUUCUUCCUCGGUGGGUUAGUUCGUGACGCCGAAUUCUGGCUCCACUUCUCUGUCGUUCACCAAAUCCCCUCCGAUGCUUUUAUUUUUCGCGAUUGAGGACUAAAUUCUUAUGCGUCCCGAUGAAGCAAAGGUUUUUCUCCAGCCAAAAUCCAAUUGCGUUGCAGCUGAACUUAGUCAGUAGUCACAUACAGUAACGACGGUCAACGGAUAAUAUCACUAAUCCAGUCACUCCAGUUUGCAUAAACUAACAUAUCAAUCACUUAAUAUUUAAUAAUUCAUAACUCGAUUAUUAACUCGAUAAUAUUUCAGUUUAAAAUUUCAUUGGCUACAUGCCUCUAUAUGAAGUUAGGAAAUUUCAAUAAGUUAAAAGAGAUGUAAAAAUGGUUGAUAAAAAUAUCUCAUAUAUAAAUAUCAAAAGGUUGAAAUAUUAUAUUAGGUAACACGAGACAUAUAACUAAACAUUAAGUAAUGUAGGAAUAACAUCUUGUGGCGUAGGUGUGUGGGAAUGACGUCCCAUAUUUCAUAUAGGGAUGGUGUAAAACUAUGAGAUGCAACAUCUUGUACUAGAAAUGAGCAAUUUAAAUGUAACAUAGAGACCACGACGUCGUAAAAAGAAGAAUGACCUAAAAAGCAAUUAAUUUUUUUUGAAUAUUAUCAAAAUUCUUAUUAUAUUUAUUUUUGAAAGAAANNNNNNNNNNNNNNNNNNNNNNNNNNNNNNNNNNNNNNNNNNNNNNNNNNNNNNNNNNNNNNNNNNNNNNNNNNNNNNNNNNNNNNNNNNNNNNNNNNNNNNNNNNNNNNNNNNNNNNNNNNNNNNNNNNNNNNNNNNNNNNNNNNNNNNNNNNNNNNNNNNNNNNNNNNNNNNNNNNNNNNNNNNNNNNNNNNNNNNNNNNNNNNNNNNNNNNNNNNNNNNNNNNNNNNNNNNNNNNNNNNNNNNNNNNNNNNNNNNNNNNNNNNNNNNNNNNNNNNNNNNNNNNNNNNNNNNNNNNNNNNNNNNNNNNNNNNNNNNNNNNNNNNNNNNNNNNNNNNNNNNNNNNNNNNNNNNNNNNNNNNNNNNNNNNNNNNNNNNNNNNNNNNNNNNNNNNNNNNNNNNNNNNNNNNNNNNNNNNNNNNNNNNNNNNNNNNNNNNNNNNNNNNNNNNNNNNNNNNNNNNNNNNNNNNNNNNNNNNNNNNNNNNNNNNNNNNNNNNNNNNNNNNNNNNNNNNNNNNNNNNNNNNNNNNNNNNNNNNNNNNNNNNNNNNNNNNNNNNNNNNNNNNNNNNNNNNNNNNNNNNNNNNNNNNNNNNNNNNNNNNNNNNNNNNNNNNNNNNNNNNNNNNNNNNNNNNNNNNNNNNNNNNNNUAUUUUUUUAUAGCAAGAAAUCUUCAAUAUAAAGAACAUAAAAAUGAACUCAAAAUAGUAGACAAAAAAUACAAAUGAAUUUGAGAUGAUUUAAAACUUUGAGACUACGUACCCUGUUAGUGAUCAACCUUUGGAUCGAUGUUGUAGCUGUAAUUGGCUGUAGCACAGAUUCUGAAACCUGACUUCAACAUAUGUGCUCAAAUCUAACUUCACUUACUUCAGAAACUGAAUACGUACGAAAGCGACGAACCUCCAAUAUUACCAAACAAAAACAUAUGAAAUCACUACUGUGAAACUGUGCAAAUUCAAAGUCUCAAGUUAAUAUUGCAGAAUAGUAACAAAAUCAAACUAGAUUUGGUAUAAGCAUAAUGUUUAUCUUGUCACAUUGAUACAGUGGGAUUUGAAAAAACGUCGCAUGAAUUUCCAAAAUAUAAUUUUAUUUUGAUCCUUAUAUAUCUUCUCCAACGUGAAUGUCAUCUACCUUAUAAAUACAAUUACCAAACUAAGGUUUACAUUUCUGGUAUCGGUUCGUUUAACCUCUGUAUCUAAUAAAAGGAGCGAAAGGAUGAGGGAUUGUUGUAUGACUUCUAUUUUUCCCUCUGCUUCUGCAAAAAAUUCAUCUUCAUUCACUUAACAAUCAAAAUCAGUCGACUAGGUUCAUUCUGGUGUACUGUCAGGGGCCAGGAUGAAGCGGCUUCGAGACUCCGCCGACGUGAUAGAGCAAAUCCUGAUGUACUUACCCAUAAGGGAUGCUGCCAGAACCAGCAUCUUAUCAAAAGACUGGCGGUAUCGUUGGAGAAGCAUUCCUCAACUCGUGUUCGAUGCGAAUUUCGCAGCUACAUUCCACAACGAUCACUUGCUGGACAAGAAAAAGGUCAUGCUUAGCAUUUACAGAGCUCUGAUAGCACAUGAUGGCCCCAUAACCAAGUUCAAGCUCGACAUUCCUGGAUUGAACCCAUCUCCUCAGAUUGACCUGUUGAUGCCUUACCUCACAAGCAAACAAGUCCAAGAGCUAACCCUUCUCGUUGACACCGACGAUGACUACGCCAAACUGCGUGCCCCUUUGUUCUCAGCCAUCAACUUGAGGCGUCUGAAAUUGCAACGUUGCGAGUUCACUGUGCCAUCUUCCUUUGUCGGGUUUAGUAAGCUUACUUUCCUUGAAUUGAAAGACGUAAUAACACCUGACGAUUUCUUCGAGCAUUUCCUUCCGAUGUUUCCGGUGCUAGAAGAGUUGAGGGUUGCUGAUUGUGAAGAGAUAGAGCCUGUAUUCGUAUCGCCUUCCCUCAAAACGCUUCUUUUCGAAUCCUGCAUUUGGAGAAUCUUCUUCAAGCAUACCCCGCUUCUCUCCGUACUAUCUGUCAUGGAUCGUUGUGGAAAAUCUUAUGCGGAGACCAUUCAUGAAGGUAGCAAUCCGGAUAUGGUGGCUCUUUUUGCUUCUCUUCCUGCUCUACAGGAGCUGAAUCUUGGCACUGAAAUGCUGCUAGUAAGUUAAUUGUUUGUUCCUAGACAUCGGUGUUUUACUUGGUUUUCCUUGUACUCAUUUUGGUUUCUACAGUUCCUUGCUGCUGACAGUCAUAUCCCACGCCAGCUUCCUACAACCCUCCACCACUUGAAAGUCAUCAAAAUACCUCAUCUAUUCCUUGACAGCUCAUCACAGGCGCAGCUUUUUAUCUGUCUGAUCAGGAGUUCCCCUAACUUGCAGCAACUCACAAUUGGGGUUGGAAAUGAGAACUUAAAAUCUUCUCUGAACUGUAUAGAAGAAAUGCAUGUUAACUCUACAGAUUCUUUUUGUUUAUAUAGGUUGACGAUUAUGAUGAAGAUUAUCGGGAUUACGAGGUGAUCGCUAGUCUGCACGAGCUGUUGGAACCAGAGAACAGUUGCGGAGUUUGCUGUAUUGAACGCCUUGAAGAGCUUAACAUUCACGAUAGCCGCGGGACAAAAGUGGAGAUGGAGCUGGUGAGGUUUGUACUAGCCAAUGCUCCACUGCUGGUUAGGGUCUUCAUUCAGCCUGCAGGACAACUGAACUCUACAAAGAGACUGGAAUUCUUGAAAGAUGUGAUGCUUUGUAAGCGUAUGUCCGAAAAGGCGGAGGUCAAAUUGACUUGAUACUAUGAAGAUAGCAGAUGGAUGGAGAACAAACACCACUUAUUUCAAUAAAUGUACCGUACAGAAUACAUCAAACGAAAACCACAGCAGUUCAAAGGAGAAACCUAACUCCGGUACAAAACCAGUAAUGCAAUAGACUUUCGAUGUCUUUUUUUGGAACGUGUAAAGAGGAAUAACUUUACACAACAACCUACACACCUCAGGCAGAAUCAUCAUCUAACCUGAUAAAUAUCAAGUGACCACGAAGAAAGACUCAAUUUUUAAUCGGCCCUGGAUUGACCUGCUCGAGACGAGAGGAUGAUGCCGACAAUGAGACCAUACAAUGCCAACGCCUCAGCAAAGAUAAGAAUCAGAAUCAUUCCCACGAACAGCUUUGGCUGCUGUGCAUUAGCCCUGCAAAAUCAGAUAAAUCAAGUAUUCAGAGCCAAGCCAAGCCAAGACAAGCAAAUGAUAUGGUUGGAUCCUAUGAGGAACCUACCAAUUAAUUCAUCUCUUAAGCUUAUCCUAUUCAUAAUGGAAAGAGAAAAUGGACCUAAUUUGUAGUCAAUGACUGUAUAGCUACGAAAAAUGUUAAAAGAAAUGAAACUAGAUUUAGAAGGAAGUACCUGACGCCGGCGUCUCCGACGAUGCCGAUGGCCAUCCCAGCAGAGAGUCCGGCAAGCCCACAGGCCAACCCGGAGGAGAGAUGAGCGUAUCCGUCGAAAAGGUAAUACGAUUUGGCUUUAGGGUUAAUCCCAGUGCUGAUGAUCACAGCGAUAAUCAAACCAUAGAUACCGAGGACUCCAGCCAUAACAACUGGAACAAUCGACUUCAUAACAAGCUCCGGCCUCAUCACCCCCAUCGAAGCCACUCCGACACCGCUCUUGGCCGUCCCGUAAGCAGCUCCCAUACCUAGAUCAUUACCAAAAUUAAAGAGAGGAUCGCAGAUCUGAAAUCGAAAAGAGGGAUUGAAGAGAUUUACUUACAGGAGAAGACGAGGGCCGCUGCGGCUCCAAGGAAGCCGAAGAAGGGUGCAGUUUCAUCGCCGCUGAACGUAGAUGCCAUCUUUCUUCUCCGACUGAGAUAUUCUGAUCACGCAAUAAUCCUUCUUGGAAAGAUGAACAGAGGAUCAACAAACGGUGUCGAGAGAUUUGCAGAGAGAGAUCCUUGGAAAUUAUGUGGUGAGGGGGCUAUGUGAGUGAUAUUAUCAAGCCCACUUUUGGUUUCUGCGAAGCCCAUGGGCCCGUCUUAAUUAACCCGUGAAUAGCGAUCGUGGUAGUUAGUAGUUAGUACUGCCUACUGCGUAUGGUCAAUUUAGUUUUGUACAAUAAUUUUUAUCCUUUUUAUUUUGCCAUAAUCCGGUGUAUGACAACCUUUUAACCACCGGCAAGUUUUUAUAGAAGUUUUCCGGCUACUCUUAACUUCCGUCGGCCAAAAUUAUUUCACCAGUUGGAGUUAUGUGAAUAGUUUGAAAAAAUUAAAUGAAAUUUCGAAUAUCAUAUUAAAGAGAAGGCUAACUCAAUAUGUCUUUAUAGACCGGAUUUUCUUUUCUAAAGAUGUAACCUUUGAGGCUAUUCACUUUUUACGAAAGGGAAAAAUCUAUUUGACCUUGAAAUCACACGCGAGACGAGCGGGCGGGUAAACCUUAAGACCUUACAUUAGUUUUUGGGCAUAAUUUAUUCUUUUCUUUUGAUUUCCUUUUCCAUAAUGGAAAAGGAAUAUAAAUCAAUUCGAUUCGAUCGAAAAACUCGUCUGACUUAUCCUCCACGUAGAAGGGAAUUUUCGAGGGCUUCUUUACUUUUGUAAAAAUAGAGCAGCCUAACCCUAGAACAAAAUAUACGAAAAAGGUGAGCAACAAUAGAUUGAGAAUGUAAAGAGAGAACUUCUUGUCUUCGCACACGAGAAGUAUAGACUGACUAUUUUAUCCUGGAGGCGCCCGGUAGAUAGUCUAUUAUGCGCGAUUAAGACAGUGCGGAAAAAAACAUCUUAAAGAAAGCAACCUAGUCCACGACUCAACCAAAUCGGUAAACCUUGAUUUUUCGUGUUCGGUUUCUAACAUCACCUAAGUGUUCACAUCACCUAAAUAAACACUUAUUUCACCUAGAGGGGCUGCUGAACCAAUCUAGUCUCUUUACAUGUUACAACCACAAUACAGUUACAGUGAUUCAUCAUAACACGUGAAAUGCUGCCUUUAUGGAAACAAUCUGGGUAGUCAUCGUACUAUGACCUAUACACUAUGGUUCGAAGUUCAAUCCUUCCAUCUAAAAAUGACAUCUUUGACUUAGAACUUCAGUAAUCAGAUGGAAUUUUACGAGUCGAACUGCUACACAAAAACUACAAUCCUUAUUCACCUUGUGUUCCAACUAUUAAUCCAGAGUAUUCAGAAUGACUACAAGCAUUUACAUUCUACCGGUGAUUAAACACCAAGAUAAAAUGGCCACUAGACAAAUGCAUUUCAUUCUCCACAUCUAUGAACAAAUUCACAGAACCUGGAAGAGCACUAGGACAGCAAAAUCACUAUUCAUUCUAUCAGUAAAUAAACGGAAGAAAUGAUCGUCGAUUGCGAGGAUACUCCUCGAACUUGUGUAAGUACCACCUCUGUGUCUCUGCUGCUGCAAAUCCAAGAUUAGCGACCUGCAAAACCGUUACUCGCUAAGAAAGAUUCAACCAUACUUCUGGUGCAGAUAAAAAAAAGCCCGAGUUUGAACAGGGAGAGAGAGAACUUGCCACAAACAGAAGAAGCAACCACAUCACAAAGUCGGUGCCCCCACUUGCAAUCAACAGCCCUGCAUAUAUAAUCUGUUUUGCAACUCAGGAGUGAUUAGUAUCCAGUUGAUUGUUUGGUUACAAAGGAAAAGACAUUUGUAUUCGGAUUAACGAAUGAAGUUGCAUACCAUCUCAGCUAAGUAAUGUGGGCUCGAAACCAAUUCAAACCAAUCCCCACGAGGAAUUGCAUAGUCAUUGGUUUGUUCUCUCCGAUUCCCUCUCAAUGAGCCCUUCAAAGAGCAAACCAGAAUAAUGAGUAACGAAGCAAAUUUAACUGCAGACCAUCCCUGUUGCAGUAAAAUGCUAACAAAUAGCGCUCUAUGUUAACUCUCGAACUCUGUUCAUUCAUCCUACAGUAAUAUGCACAGCAUUGCCCAUAAUCGCUCAUUUCCAAACCAAUCUACCCGAUCAUAGAGUUGGAUAUAAAGUUUGAACGAUUUGAUGAACGAAUGUUAGUCGCCAUGAAAGAAUCCAAUCCAUCUAAUUAGUUGAACGAAUGUUAGUCAUCUUAAUUGUUAGAGAAUUCACCAUAACAACGUUCAUUAAAUCAGGCAAGUCUAUUCCUUUAUACUUCAGUAAAAGAAAAAGUUCAUGGCCAUUUCAUUGCCGGUUUCAAAGCAAAAUGAAACGUUAAGCCACAAGCAACACAAACUAAAAGUAGAGAAGGGAAGCUAACCAAAAUUCGAUGACAUCUAAGCUGAUGAAGCCAUCCCAAAAAGAAAACCGCAGCACCAACCCAUUGGCACCAUCCCAGCUUCAAUAUAGGCUUCACAAACGCCCUCCAAUCAGUCCCAUCACCGAAUACAAACGAAGGAUCACCCUGUUUGCUUUUAGCAUUCAGCUCCACAACUUCAUCAGCUGCAAAAUUCAGAGCCUCCAAAGCACAAAAGUGGCAGAGUGACAGUGGAGCAGCAGCGUAGAAACUGAGACACACCACCAAAAACAAUGCUUCAACAUAUAUACCACAAGGCACACAAUUUUGUCUAAUUGAAAGGAAAAAGAGGAAACUCACAACAGUCCAGUUAGAUAGCCAAGAACAUGCAUGCGAGCUGAAGUACUGUACUUGAACACAUAAAUCGUCUCGUAAAGCCGCCUCGAGACGUGAGAUUCCAUCAACAGCAGCAAAAACACCGACACCCAUACCUUAUAUCUGUGCUUCGCCGUCCGGGAAUGCGUCUUGUGCAAAGAUAACAACCGGGAGCCGCCACCGCCGCCGCCGAUCAAGUGAGAAGCCGCCGUCGAGAAGUCCAGCGGAUCAUGGACAAGCGGCGCUGUUUGGGCGGCGUAGUUCCAAGUAAUCACCAGUAAAAAAGUAGUCGAGACCAAGCCUAAGGCGUAGAAAUGCAGGAAAAACCUCUGUGGCACUGUGAACUUCUAAGCUAACGGAAAGAGCAAACAUCAAAUUAGGAAAAAACCUGGAAGAAUAAGAAAUCACCGAAGCUAGCGAUGAUGCUUUUUAAUUUUAUUGGUGUCGUCUCCUUACAUUAGAAGACGAUUUCAUGAUUUUGCCUCUUUUAGCGAAACCUAGUAAGAGUUGGUGGAGAGCGUUCAGUUUAGAGAUGGGCAGUGAAGCGACCAGUAUCGGCAAGGUACCGACGACCCACGCAGCUCCGAGCAGCCGAUCGAGCCGUAUCGCCACCAUCUUUCGCUGGCGAAUAUACUGACUUUCGAAUUCAACGUUCAGGUUUUCGAUGGAAUUGAUAGAAAGUCGAAAUGGCGGAAAAGAUUGGGAGAGACAGUUUUUUUUGGAUAUAACCGCUAGUUCGAACUUCGAACCGCUAUGCUCAAAGGCAGAAGGCGGCACGUAGCACAGACGUGGCCAUUUUAUGAGCUGGGCCAACGUAUGUGUUUGUAAGGCUUUCGGCAGAAAUAAUCUGGCCCAAAUAAAUAGUCACAAUGGCCCAAUUCUUCCGGAGAGGUAAGUUGGUUCACUGGCCUAUAUUCCUCGUAAAUGAACUCAAUAAUGCCACAAAAUUAACAAUUCAUGAAAAAAACUUAUGUACAUAUAUAUACCCAAUACACUCUUGAGGUAAGUUGUUUUUGAUAUAUCAUGUUUAAAAUUAAAAAUCGUGAGAUUCUUAUUUAGUGUUUAGAACAAAGCUCAACACUCACGAAGUAAGGUGCCCAGACAAAUAUCAAAAUUUUUAGUGUUGAUUAUAAGUUAUGAUUUCCGGGUUAAAUUGUGUAUAUAAACCAUACAUUUAACUUUACAAUAAUAACGUUAUUCUGCGAUCUGUUCAAAUAAGGCACGACUUCUUCACACUCACACACUACACGUCGUAUCAUGUAAACAGAAAUCACAUAACUUUUUUUUUCAAGUAUGAUUGUCAUGUCUCGCCUUUUACUAAUUAACAACACAAAUUUGACACGACACAACAUCUUGCAAUGGAGGGAAAUCAUCAUAGAGUUUACCAAAUGUUCAUCAAUGCAGAUCUCAUAAUUGCAAUUAGUCAAUAAAUCUGAAAUCCCGGAUCCGCAAUUUUUUUUUUAAAUAAUGUCGAAAUAAAACGUGUUAUUAUAAUUUCCAGAAAAGUAGAGCAACUUUAGCCUUCAUACUCAUCAAAUGAAUAACAGGAAGAUGAUUAGUUUCAAAAGGAAAGCAAAUGAACUGUAAAAAAUAGAAUGGAAAAGGAAUAAUAAUCUCUUUUUUGGUAGAAAAAGAAGACGAGAAAAUGAAAAGAGAUACAAGUAGGAAAGCAACAUGUUUGUGUGUGCAAUUAUCUAUUUAACCCAGUCAAAUCCAAACGCGUAGUGUAAUAAUAAUAAUAAUAAUAAUUGUUAAAAAAGAAGAAUAAGAUAAAGUAAUAAUUAUCCUUGCACUUUAAUUAUGCACAGAGGGAGUAACAUAUAACAACAGUGACAUCUUCCUAUCUAGAGGAAGAGAUGUCACGGUUGAAGCCACCCCAACCAACAACCAACUUCCAUGUUGUCAAUUCUGAUUUGUUACGUAGAAACGGACCCCCUCCCCCCUAACUUGGCAAUGACACUUGUAAAUUGUUUUAUACUGUACACAUAAGUUUUUGGUUCUGAAAUUUUUUAAAUAUUACGUUCCGGUCGGAAUCGAUAUUUAGUUCGGUCUAAAACUCCACAAUCUACAUUGUAUAUUUUCCUAUAUGCGAAUGCGGGCUGGACCAGUGUAGUCUAGGUUUUGCAGAAUUCAAUCUGGUAUUAGUCUAUAUAUAGUCGAUAAGUUUCAUAAACAAAAAUUCAACAUCCAACCCACGACAUACUAUUGUACAUAUAUUAUGAUGAUUCUAUAAUAAAAUGAAUGUAACUGGAGCCUCUGGAAGUUCAUGAAUUAUGAUUAUCUUGCAGAGAGCAGUUACCAUUUGAAGCAAGAGAGUGAGGCAGGGCCUAGAUGUGUGAUUUUACUUAACAUGAUGAUCAUUCAUUAUGAUCUAAUGGAAAAUGACACCUUACUAGCUAUUAGCUACUGAAUUUAAUUAUUAUUAUUUCAGUUUUAAUCUAAUCCAAUUGAAACAGGCCAAAAUUUACAACUCAAAACAUAUAAUAAAUAAGAAAGUAAUGAAAUGUUGGGUUUUGUCAAUCAUAGUAAUCCAAAAUUGAAAAGUUGGGGUUUUCCCUCUUUGGCUUUCCUUUUCAUGUGUGGUUCUAGAAUGUGUUGAUAUUGUAACUAAUAACUAUGGCACUCAAGGUCUUUGAAAGGAAGCUUGUGUUUCACAGUAGUAGUUUGGGAACAUAAUUAAAAAGGGUGGUGAUACCCAUAUCAACUCUAGUAGUGGAAAGAGAUANNNNNNNNNNNNNNNNNNNNNNNNNNNNNNNNNNNNNNNNNNNNNNNNNNNNNNNNNNNNNNNNNNNNNNNNNNNNNNNNNNNNNNNNNNNNNNNNNNNNNNNNNNNNNNNNNNNNNNNNNNNNNNNNNNNNNNNNNNNNNNNNNNNNNNNNNNNNNNNNNNNNNNNNNNNNNNNNNNNNNNNNNNNNNNNNNNNNNNNNNNNNNNNNNNNNNNNNNNNNNNNNNNNNNNNNNNNNNNNNNNNNNNNNNNNNNNNNNNNNNNNNNNNNNNNNNNNNNNNNNNNNNNNNNNNNNNNNNNNNNNNNNNNNNNNNNNNNNNNNNNNNNNNNNNNNNNNNNNNNNNNNNNNNNNNNNNNNNNNNNNNNNNNNNNNNNNNNNNNNNNNNNNNNNNNNNNNNNNNNNNNNNNNNNNNNNNNNNNNNNNNNNNNNNNNNNNNNNNNNNNNNNNNNNNNNNNNNNNNNNNNNNNNNNNNNNNNNNNNNNNNNNNNNNNNNNNNNNNNNNNNNNNNNNNNNNNNNNNNNNNNNNNNNNNNNNNNNNNNNNNNNNNNNNNNNNNNNNNNNNNNNNNNNNNNNNNNNNNNNNNNNNNNNNNNNNNNNNNNNNNNNNNNNNNNNNNNNNNNNNNNNNNNNNNNNNNNNNNNNNNNNNNNNNNNNNNNNNNNNNNNNNNNNNNNNNNNNNNNAUUUCAUUAUCGCCUCUAUUCUCGUCCAAACAAAUUGAUUAAAAAAGCUAAGCACAACUUAUAUAAUAGUUUGUUGGCCCAAAAAAGAAGAAAGCAAAAAAACACAUGAACCAACAUACAAAUAAAAAAGUUUAAGGAGGUUCCCUAAUAAGAGAAUUAUGCAUUCAUCUUCUACAAACUAAGUUGAUUUUUUAAAAUGAUGAGUUAGCACGUAACCUAUUUUUAAAUGUACCGUAUUGAGCCACAUAAACAUUCCGUCUAAAAAAUAACAGAAUGAUAACUAAAAAAACAAAAUUAUAUUUUAAUAAUAUCUGAUAAUCAUAAAUUAAUAUGACUGCAAACUUAGUAAUACCUCAACGUAUUUAACUCCACUCAAGAUUUCAAACUCUAACUGCCAAGAAUGUGGAAAGGGAAAUCAGCAAGUUACUCAAUUAAUUAAUUAAUUGAAAAGGUGGUGGGUGAUGUGAUGUCAACUAAAGGGCCAAGCUAGGGUUGAGAUCCUAAUAGGGUCCCCUUCCGAUUCCUUUCUCCGCUUACGCUAACCCCCAUUUCCUACCCGCCUUAAUUUCUCUCUUUUCUUUUAUUAAUUAUAUGUAAAUUUUGCAGCCGAGUUUCAUAAUUUAGCUCUAAAAUUGAUAACCAGCUGAGUGGUGGCUGAAGGGUCCACGAUCGGUGGGAGAGCGAUAGAAGUUUGAUGAUGCGGUCCGCCGCCAUGAAUGAUAGCCACGGCCGACCACCACCCUCCUAUAUGUGGACUUCUUCAACUGAAAUCUAACUCUUUAAGCUAAAUUUUUCACUUUUUCUUCAUAUGUAUAGUAUACUUUCGAAUGAUCAUAUCUUCUUGUCCAUUAUAUUAUAUUACUCUCGAUCCAACUUCUAAUUCCAACCAGCUGGUUAAUUCUGAACAGAGAAAGGGUUCGUCAAUGUGUAGAGCUUGGAGUAGGCUUAGGAUCAAUACAGGGUUCUUGUGGUUUACAAACAAUCAUGAAAACAUAAUUAUGAUAUAUAAUGAGAUAUACGUCGGUUGGCCAAACAAGUUAUGGUUUGUCGCUCAAAAUGGGUUAAUUGAUUGAUUUGAGUAAGAAGUCGGCUUGAUCGAGGCGAGUUUAGGUCGGGGGUUUGUUACCGGUCAAAAUAAGAGUCAAUCAUCCAUCAAAACAGCAGAUAACCCAUUCCAACAUAACUCUUUACUAGAACCACUUUAUUGUUCUACCCGAUUCUUUAAGACGGAACAUAUCUCUUAACCCUAAUCCAUCCAUAAGAUAACCAAAUUCCUUGCCAGCUGCGAAUCCCGGGCGCCCAACCCUUCAACGAAGUCUCUAAGUACAAGGAAAUACAAUUCCAACGAACGUAACAAACGGUCAUCAAAACCUUUAAACAGUCAUUAAUGGGUUAAAACAGUCUGGUUAGGGACCAUUUUAAUCAGACGGUCCCAUAAUUACAAUCCUUAAAACUAGCCAUUAAGCCGAAUUCUCUCAGGUGAGAGACAUUUAUCCUUCCAUCCAUUAAGCCGAGCAGCAACUCGCUCUUCUAAGAAUCGGAAACUAGCCACCUUGGAGCGAGCAAAAUGAGUUGGCAGACCAAGAUAAAAACCCGCAAGCGCAUCAUCCGGAACGACCAGCUGAAGCCGCAUCUCAGCUUGCAAAGAAGCUGGUGUAUUCGCACUAAAAGUGAUCGUGGCAACUAAGUUGAUGUAAUGCCAGAAAACAGCUAUCAAAGUGGAUUCCCAACAAGACCCACGCAGUUGAAGAAUAACUAACAUGUAUCUGUUAAUUAAGCCAUCCAAAGCCGACCACACUACAUAUACUACUGCAUAUGCAAUCAUAAUUAUAUAGAGGUUCACAUCAAGGUCGGUAGAUUCCCCACUCUCCAUUCCUAGAUAACCCCCCCUAAAUUCUUCUUUAUUAACUAUCUAUUUCUUUACAGAAUCUAUGUAUAAAACCCAUCUUCUUAAUUACAGUGAUCAUCAGAAAAUUAAUUAUAGCAUAUUUCCUUAAUGCAAUACACCUCAGAUUGAAGCUAAGUAUAUAUAUAAUUUGUUAUAACGGAUGAAAGUUUAUUAAUUUAUCCUUUGUAAUGUUCGCAUGUGCCUAAUGUGCAGGUUAAUCAUAAUUCAUGUUAGGCUUCAACAGUAUUUAUCUUUUUGGUUACUGCAUCGGUGGCACCGGAAACGUAUGUUUCAUCUUCGUGGUGAAUAGUCACAACUUAGGCAUAGAAAAACACAGCGUACACGAAUGUAUUAAUGCUUAUAAACGAUAAAUAAAUUUGAGUGGACAUAAUUUAUUAUUGUCUUUCUUUGAGAAAUUUUUAUGAUGUAUUGGUAAUUCAAACACCGGUAAUCGAAAAUCGUAACAACGCAAUGCAGAUCACACGAUUCAAUGAUUUUUUUCCUUUGAAACAGAUGAGAAAGUAAAAAAAUCGGGAAUUAUGUGUGAGAACAAUUGAAGGAGAGCAGAAUACAUAGGAAUCAUAAGGUUACGACCGAACCGUUACAUCUCUUAGGUAUGUUGGUUAGGAUUGGCGGCACGAUCCGAAAAACUACAUCCUUUUAUUUGAUUUGAAUUGAAAAACCGACCUGAUUUAGCCGAGGUUUUGGGUUGAAUCAAAAUCAAACCAACCCGCGGUUGGAUAAAAACACUAACAAAUAUGAAUUUCACCCUUCUCUUUUCAUCCUUCCUUCAUUGACACCAUAUUCCUAUUCCUAACAAUCACCCAUAUAUAUGAAUGGAGAAUGCUAUAUUUGAAAUUUGUACAAAAACCUUUGUAAUUUGUAACUAAACCCUAAUAGCAUAUGAAUAAAUAAAUUUACCUUUGAACUUACGUAUGCUUGGCCUACGUACGUUUUCUUUACCAUGUCCGGCGAUGGUAUUUCCAUCCCCACGAGAAUACGCAAUGCCUUGUCCGGAAUAGAUUGUCUACAAAGAAUCAUAUAUCUCUCCAAUAAUCUUUCCCUUUAAGUUAAUUAGUCACUCCGCAUAUUUCAUCUUACUGGGUUGUAAUUACCUCCCCGAUCUCUGCCUCAUCACAUUAAAUUAAGAGGUAGAUCGAAAAAUUGCUUCAAAGGCAAUGGAUUUAUGGAACGAUUUUCAUUCCAGCUUUUUUUGAGCCAAACAACAAGCUACUCAUGAGUGGUUUGGUUUGUUAAUAGUCCGGUUCGAUCCUCGCGGUGAGACAAGAAAAUAAGAAAUAAUAAGAAUAAAAUGGUGUAAUUGCUUUGCUUAAUUGGAAGAGAAUGUCGGAAUAAAAAACACAUUUUUUCCCAAGGAAAAAAGGAAUGACACGGAGGGGGGUGGGACCCGCGAGUAGAUAUUGGGGGGAGGGGACUGGGGACAAGCAUCAAAGCCAUGCGCAAUUAAACGGUCCUCCUCCUUUCUUUCUCCUCCUUCACACACACAGAGCAGUACUUUCUUUCUCUCUCUCCCUCUAUCGCCAUCUCCAAUCUUCUUUUAUAUUCGUCUCUCAUAGCUUCCACUGAACCCUUACCUAGCUAUCAUAAUCUCCUCUCCCUUUCCUUUGGUCAUCAUCAUCAUCUUCUUCUUCUUCUUCUCAUCUUAAUUUCUUCCGUGUCUGUUAACGAACCCUACCUAGAAUUUCCCAGAAGUGUUAUUGCAGUACCAUAAUUCAUCAGUAGUUCAACAGGCCGCCACCGCGUACACCUCACUCCCCGUUCAAUUUGAUCAGGUAAUUCAUCAAUGCCUUGCAUUAUUUUUUCCCUUAAUUUCUUUCUUUUUUGGAAGAGGAAAGGUUGCUAGCUACUGCUGCUAACUAUCGCUCGAAUGACCCUUUUUUACUGUUAGGCUAUUCCUUUGGCUUAAAUUGAGUACUACAAUAAAAUGAAGUUUUAGUGACUAUAAUUAAGUGACCAUUCCAUUAAAUAGUCACUGAUUUACUGGUCACUAAAAGUCAUUGGUGACCGUUUCGGCCUACCUGUGACCGUACAAUUACGAAAAACGCUACUUACCUCCAGGUCACUAAAUUAAAACUGCAUUUUUUUGUAGUAAUUGACCAUUAUGUUUAACUAGAGUGAUUAAUAACUGAAUUAGUAUGUCGUAAGGUAGGUAGCACAUCCCCAUUUCAUAUAUACUUGAGAUGUAUCGAUCUGUCUCCUAACCCAAUUGGUCAAACAUUUUAUAUGGAUACACUACCAACAACAAAUGCUGAUGCUGAAAACCUCUCUUCUGGGUUUACAUUCAGUUGUAGAAUUAUAUAUAAAGGUAAGCCUUCAAUCUCACUAACAAAGACGACUGACUGUACAUGACAAACCCAUCUCAUCUAAGUCUGCAUAAAAGCAAAAACCUAAGUUUUCAGUUGGGACCGGGGCUUGGAAUGAAUGUCUGCAGCAGUCUGAAAGUCAUAGCUGAACUCUCCCCUCUGUUACAAUUAGCUUAGCUAGCUAGACAUGCAUCCCCCACCAAACAUGCAUUCUUCUUUCUUCGAUCUCGUCUUAUAAACCAUCACUCAGUCAUGUAACUCAGCUCAUCACAAUCACAUCUGUCUGCCAAAAGAAUAAGGGAUCAUAUUCAUGGGUGCAAAGUGAAAAAGGGGUCCAGUAACUAGUAGCAUCGAAGAUCGCAAAAGAAGGAAGAAAGAUGAGCAGUAGUAGCAGAGUAGUCUGGUGCAAUAUGCCAUCAAUAUUCUAGACAAACAGACAAACGCCAGUCAGAAAAAAAAAAGUGGGUUAUUUACACAGCUUUGUUUAUUAUUUCUUCUUCUUCUUCUUCCUCUCCCUCUUUUCACGGUGAUCAUCAGCAUGACAUAGAAGAAUAACGACAACACAUCACUCUGCACCAAGCACUCUCUGUCCGCCUAAUCACUAACACCAACACUCUCUUUUGCUUUCUCAUCUUUGCUUCAUCAAUGGCUUUUUAUAUCCAGUUCCUCCUGAAACAAAGCUCCUUUCUUUCUUCCUUCCUUUUCCACAAACGCGCGUGCCCAUUCUCACUUUUGAUGACGUCAUCCUUCUUCUUCCUGAAUUCCUCUCUUUCCAUGCAUUAAUUGAAUAUUAGACAAGAUAACAUACAAAUUAUAUCCUGUUCUGGGGAAACCAAAACCCUACCAGAGCCAUGUUCCUCUAGUUAAUUAACUAUAAUUAAAUUACCCUCGCCAAAAAAGUUGCUUUUGUUUGCUUAUGCUUUUUUAAUUUAAUCUAGUGUGUUUUUUUCUAGGUUUUUGGGUUUGUUGGGAAUAGUUGAAUUAAUAAUUCAGUGUUUAAUUACGAAACGUUUAUGGGUUUUACGGUUUGUGGGGAUUGGGAUGAUUACUACUAUAGUAUUAUUAUAUAUAGUAAAUUAAUUAAUUGAUUAAUGGGGGGGAAGGGAAUGGGAACCCCGUUGUAGCUUGAUGCAUCAUUUCUACCAUUCAGCCAACAGAAGACAACAUCAUUGCUUACCCACGUCGACCUCCAUACUUGUGUUUUCACCCCCGUUCGUUUCUCUAUCUAAGCUGCUAAUUAACCCUGCACCACUCACCGCCUACUUAUAUUAUAUAUUAAUAAAGAGUAAAUUAUUACCGGCGGGCCAACUAACUCUUAUCAUUUUUUACAUGUUCUUCUUCUCAUCUCUCUUUCUCUCAGUCUGUCUGAUACUAAUAGGAUGGAAACAAUGGAGUCGUCAUCCUGUGUGCCGCCAGGGUUCCGGUUCCAUCCGACCGACGAGGAGCUUGUGGGUUAUUACCUCAGGAAGAAAGUCGGUUCCCAGAAGAUAGAUCUUGACGUCAUUCGCGACAUCGAUCUCUACCGUAUUGAACCCUGGGAUCUCCAAGGUAACUAAUUAACUGUACCCUUUUUUGUAAAGUUUUUCACUGUGGUUUUUGUACGUACAACGAGUUAAUGGGGUUUUGGUGUUAUGUUGUAGAGAGGUGUAGGAUUGGGUACGAGGAGCAGCACGAGUGGUACUUCUUCAGCCACAAGGACAAGAAGUAUCCGACAGGGACAAGGACUAACAGAGCUACAAUGGCUGGCUUCUGGAAAGCUACUGGUAGGGAUAAAGCUGUCUACGAUGACAAAACCAAGCUGCUCAUCGGCAUGAGGAAGACCCUCGUCUUUUAUCAAGGACGAGCUCCCAAUGGCCACAAAACUGAUUGGAUCAUGCACGAGUAUCGCCUUGAAUCCGACCAUGAUGCUCCUCCCCAGGUAAAUUUUUGUUUUUUUAUAUUUAUUUUACGAAUAUUCUCAGUUUGGAUAAUUCAGUUCUUUUCUUUCUUCCUUCAUUUGAAAAUAAUCGCACUAUUAAUAAAAUCUUUAAAUAUAGGUUAUUAAUUAUAGAACAAACCAAUCUUAUGAAAUGAAUUUCAAAGUCAAAUUAGCAAUCAAAAGAGUAAUUCGGCUUGUGUCAAUCGGUUAAUGAAAAUGGAAAAUAAAGAAAAUACCAACACAAAGCUACUAACAAACGUUAUCUCUCUUGCUUUUGCAUCACCACUAGAUUUAUUACGUACACACCUUAGAAGAACUCACUUUUAGAAAAAAAAAAUUGAAUAACCUAUUUAUAAAUAGUUAUUCAUUUCAUAAAAAAAUAGUUAUUCAUAAAAAUAUUAAUAAUUAAUUUUUAUUUAACAUUUUGUUUUUGAUUAAAAAAGCUUGGGAUUAAACGGUUUUAACUAUUGGAAUUAACCAAUUUAAUACAUAAAUUAGCUUAAAUUAUAUUGCUUAUCACAAUAGUGCAUAUAUCGUAUUAGUCAUCUUGAUUUUCCCAUUUGAUUUGUAUCCUUGCUUUCCAGAAAAAUAGUAACUCAAAAUGAAUGCGUGACAUUAAGGUCAGAAAGUAAACUGAUGGCUUUCAUGGCUAAGCUAGGGUAGCUCAUUAUUAGAACUAAGACUAUUGAUAUCAUGGAUGGUUUGGAAAAGCUAAAUUGGUGCCUUUUUACCCAGUCUUUUCUCUUGGCCUUUAGAGGACAAAGAUAAUCAGGAGGAGAUAUAUAUCCUCAGUCUUUUUGGAUUAACUAACCCUCUGGUCUGAACUUUUCUUCUAUCCCCCCCCCCCAACCCCACACUUCCUUCGCCAACCAUACUAAUUGUCUCUGCCUUUAGACCUACAAAGGGUUGGGGUCACCUUGCACAAGAGUUGCAACUUCAACCCAAUAUAGAUGAUCAUGCAUGUUAAAUUCUGUUCAUGUUCUUUAGAUGAAGUAUUUCGAUGAUAUUUUAACUUAAAUAUCUCAUUUUAAAUUAUUUAUAUCAAAAUAACUAGGCUUGGCAUCUUGGUCCGGAAAUCGGAAAAACCGUCUGAAUUUGAUCUGGUCAAUGCGGGUAAAAUUUGGUUUGACCGAAUGACGGAUCAGAUUUGGAUUAAUCCGAAUCUGAAGGUGACGGGCGACGGGUGGGUAUCGGAUUCACUGGUAUCCGAUCCGACUCCAUCCGAAAGUAUAUAUACCGGCAAAAAAAACUAUAGAUUAGUUUGUUUUAUGUUUUUGUUGGAGGGAUUAUUGUUUGGUUUAUGUUGCUAGUUACUACAAUGGGUUUUGCUAAUGAAGGCUGUUGAGCAAAUUUAGUAUUUUGGAUAAUUUGACGGUUGUUUGGUUGAUUUUGCUUUGGUUUAAAAUCGGUUUUCAAUCUUAGAUUAGUAUGUUUCGGAUCAAAUUUGGAUCUCCGACUAAACCCGAAAUUCGGAUUUGGGCGGGGAUGAUAUCAAAUCUAAGUCUGAUUGCUAUAAUCGGCGGGGAUUCCCCGAAUCCAAAAGUACAACGGGUGGGAAAUGGAUUCAUACCAAGUCUACAAAUUACUGAUCGGAAGGAGUUAUUAGAAUUUCGACUAAUUUGAUCUUUUUGUUUACCAAAUGGCAUUAAAUUAACUCAUUAGCCAAAACAAGAUAAUUCAUACACCAUAAUCUUGCAAAAUAACUCAUUUAAUCUUGCACCUCAUCAAUACCACAUUCUAAAAAGGAAAACAUACAAAAUAACUCAUCUAAACAACCUUUAAAGUACAUUUCUUCGAUAAAGUGAAGAACCAAUAUAUACCAUUUUUUGGAUGAAUAAUCGAUUUGUAACAUUCAUAACUCGAGAUGUUGAAAGAGAGAUUCAGAAUUGGUAAUUCUAACAUUCCCUAACAGUAUAACAUUAGCACUUAACUGUAAUCGUCAAUUCUUUUUGGGAUCGGGGCUUUGGUUUCUUCUUAAAAAAUUAUCUUUGGUGUGUGUAUAGGAAGAAGGAUGGGUGGUUUGCCGGGCAUUCAAAAAGAGGAGCACCAAUAAGAGAAUAGAAGGAUGCAGCAGCUACAACCUCCAGCAGUACGAAGAAUCAUCAAACGACCCAAUAAUUGAUCACCAUUACUACACCGCACCCCCUCCGCCACGUCAGCCAUCCAUGCCACGUCAUCACCAGAGCAACAGCUUCUUGAUGGCACAGCAGGGCAGUAGCUUGUUGUGCAAGCAGGAGAUCAUCCUCAACGAUACCAUUAUUCGACCUGCAGAUACUACUAACACUACUUUCAGUACUGCGUUUCUCGACGAUUCAGCGGAAAGCUUCCUGAACGAGCUUCCCCAACUAGAAAGCCCUAACUCUCUGCCGUUGAUGAUGAAGCGACCAAUGACGGCGUCCACUUCAUCCUCGGCAGACAUUGACAACACCAACAAGAUGAUGAUUGGCGGGAAAGUGAGGGAUUGGCGGGAUCUUGAUAAGUUCGUGGCUUCCCAGUUGAGUCAGAAUGAUGAUGAGUUAUAUUAUAAUAACAAUGUCGGCGGGGAGAGUAGUAGUGGUUUGGAAUUGCCGGAGUUGUUGGUGUUGGAGAGUGAGAGUGGCUUCUUCAGCUCCAACUCUGGACCUUGUGAUAUUGGGAUAUGUUUAUUUGAUAAAUGACAAGAAUGUUGCUGCUUUGAACUUACUAAUUAAUUAGGGCUUAAUUAGCAUAUUAUUAUUAUUAUUAUUCACGAGCCAUAUUCCGAAGGUGCUUUUUUUAUAUAUAUAAUUGAUAUAAUAAUUCUGUAUAAAAUGUAUGUUUGUGGAGGAAGUGAAAUUUGAUUCUCUAUCCCUCUUUAUAUGAAUUAUCAUACAUAAAGAUUUGUUUUUUAUGUUCUUCUCGCAGUCACAUUAUUUUGGGCAAAAUUCUCACGCAAGUUACAAUGUAUAUCUCACAUAUUAACCAUCUCAAGUUGUCCCAAAUCGAACCACGAAACUGUAACAUCCUAGGUAAACACUUGAUCGAGGGACAAAAUUGAAGAAAUACAUGGAAGGUGGGUAAUAAUGUAUUUGAAAGGAAAGGAGGGUAUGUAUGCAGUAGGACUAAGGAGUGGGCUUUUUAGAAGUUAAUGGUGGGCCAAUGAACUUGUCUAGCAUGCGCCUGGGCAUGCUUUGUCGACUCUCUUUGUUUACAAUGUAACACAAACCAAUUUCACUUUAGGUUUGUGUUACAUUCCAGCACCAGCAGAACAAAAUCUUUUAUGUUUUUGAAUAAUGUCAAGGCUACUGUAUUCACGGCCAUUGAUUAGCUAAGUUGCAGCUGUAUUAUUAUGGAAAUUCUGCUCUACUAGCUUACUUGCUAACGUAUGGUCUGUCUCCCAAACUACAAAUCUUCAUGAAAUAGUGCAGUUGUUGGUGAUACGUGCUAUAAAUUCGAAUAUUUAGAUGGGUAGAAUUAGUGUUAAUGUUUGUGCCCAGUAAUUGAUUGGACCAAAUUUAAAUUGUGUGACGUGGGACCAUUAAAAAAAGGCUAAUUGCCAUGCCUAUGGAUAUACAGAUGAGUGCACUUUUCACCCUUUUCUCCCCUAAAAUAAUGUACCACUUGUCACUAUGUCAUUAUAUUACUUUGUUUGUAUACGUAGCUAAAGGACGUUUAGUUUGCCCAUGCCCAUUAAUUUGACCUAAGUAACACAUCUGCCCAAGGGAAACUUCCAAAAUACAAUUGACUAGUUUGUAAGUUUUAUCCCAGUAAUGUCAUUUAUGCUUGAUGUCUGGUGUAUUACAAACUACUAAUACUUGCGAAGUAACACACCCUACUGACCAGAUGUCAUACUUGCUACAAAUUAUUCCCAGCUCUAAUCACACAUAAAAAAGUUUAAUGAUUAGUAUGCACCUAAUGACAAGGUUUGACUCUCCUACGAUUCACGAGACUACUUCCACGAAGAUAAAGUCAUGUUUUUCUUGACUUUGUCGGGAAAAUAAAUCAUUUGAGUUUUGAUAAUGCUAUGGAGAAUAGUCUUUGUAAGGAACAUUAAACAGUCAUGUCCAUAAUAAAACCCACAUCACAAAACACUGUACACGCCUUUAUGCAGUAAUUGGUCUGAAUUUGGUCAGUGUGGAAAAUUGACACUUCAACCGAAUUUUUAUGAAAUGUGCUUCAUGAAUCAUAAUGAAAAAUGAUUGAUUAUGGAUAACCCAAAUAAAUUCCCCAGAAUCACCCAUGCUUCCUAUUCUUCUUCGACACAUAACAGUAAACAAUGGCCAUGGAACCACACCAAUGAUAAUCAUAUAUACAAUUUGAUAUCCUAAAAGUAAUGAUACCCUCUAUAUUAAAAAAAUUAAAUUUUAAGCAUUUAAAAUCAAAAGUCUUUAGAAUAAAAUUUUAAACAUUAAAAAAUGAUGAUAACACCCUCAAAACUAAAAAAUGAUGCUAACACUCCAAACAUUAAAUCCUAACCCUCAAACACUGCAUCAUAAAACUCAAACUCUAACUUUUAUUAAUAAAUCAAAAUUAAUAGACCCUAAACCCGAAAUAUCAAACUCUAAUCUCUAAUACUAUAUCCUAAAUCAUAAAUAAAAACUUACAACUUCAAAAAUCAUAAUUUUAAACAUAAAAUAUACGAAAAUGUGAUAUAAAGAUUACCGAUAUCUCUAAGAUAUCGAAACAUUUCGAUAGAUAAAAGUCAUAAAUCCAAUGGUUUACCCAAAACUAGAAAAUUAACCAAAAGAAAAGCUUAACCAAUUUUAUUUUAUUUUAUUUUGGAAAAAGGUGAACCAAAAUUGGGACAAAUUACAGCCCAUAUUUUAAAGUCCCUCUUUCUCCAAUGAAAGCCCACUGUUAGUUUAAGAUCCAAUCAAGAAGGAAUUUAUUGGGCGUAGACUACAAUGGGCCUUUUGGAUGCUCAGCCGAACAAUCAGGCGGGCUCAGCUUCUCCGGGCAUAGCUGGCCUGACAUGAAAAUUUCAGCGACGGGAAUUUACCCGGAUCCGUCUGCCAAAUACGGCGGCCGAUUCACAGUCACACUUGCCAAUAUGUCGGUUAAAGUAGUUAGAUGAACAGCUAUUUCAUCAAGCAACAGCUCCCCCAGCUCGUCGGAACGUGGCGCUAGCAGAAGAUAGUCGGCAGGACGGGGAAUUUCUCGACGGAGGAACUAUAAGAUGGGCGCUUCCGAAUCCACUCUCUCAAUUUCAGAGGUAAUGAUAACCCCUCUUGUCAAUUUUCUCUCGCUGCUUUCCAGCAAUUUGAGUUUUUGAAUUCGUGUAACUUACACUUCUGUUCCAACUGGACGUGAAGAAAUACGCCGACGAAAUUACCACAGUUUCUGAGCGGUCAGAGAACGUGGAUCUCCUCUCCGAGAGGCUGAAGUCGCUCAAAAUUGUAAGUGUCGGGUGUUGCGAUUGAAAAAUUAGGUCUCCCUGGAUAGAGUUGAAAUUUGAAUUUGUUUAUCAAUGGGAUUGUAACUGAUUUCCUUAUGAACUAUGGAUUGCAGUCGAAGCCGCUGCUAACAUCUUCUCCGAAAGAAGGUAGCUUAACUGACAUUCUUGUGAGGAAGCCCUCUUCUUCUACUACUCCCGGUGUGUAGAGACGUUUUCAUUUCUUUUUGGUAGGUUUUGGUUCGUUUCACGUUUAUAGUUUUCUUGAAUUCUCGAAACAGAAACGGAGUUUCGUUGGUGAUGAAUGUAGGUGUAGUGGAUCCUAAAGUGCUAUUGGACCUCUUCUCAAUGUAUCGCGUUUGGCAAGAGGAAAGGGCACAGGAGAUCAGCAAGAAUCAGGUGCUUCAUCCUUCUUGCUCCCAAAAUUCGCAUUUUGUUAUGCUUUAUGGAGAUGGUUGCUCUUGCAUCCCAUUAUUUUAGGGUAGGUUUUUCAAUAGGAAUCAUGAUUCCUAGGAGAGUCGAGUUAAGACUAGUUUGUUAAUAAGCGCAAUCUGUUCCUCAAACUCACCCUAUGCUAAUCACUCAACCUUAACAUGCUGUGUUCAGCGAAAGAUAUCUUGGCAUGAGUCAAGAACUUGGUCCCCUACGACAGAUUUAUGGUUUUUCAUAAGGAUUAGUUACUUCUUCAUAGACGUAGUGAAUUCGCUGCAGUUUUAGCAGUUCCAUUGGGCCGUGAGUUCCUUGCGACCACUCAUUUCCCUAUAAUGUGUUGGAUAUCCUCUCAAUGGUUUGAGUUGUAACUGAUAUGAUCUGAUUUUUGCGUUGAUUAAUCAGUCUGGCGAUUUGAGAAGUACAUAAUGUUCCUAUAAUCAUCUUUUAUUAUUAGAUAUUUAUUGAAGCAAAACAAGUUGUUAAGAGAUAACUGUUGCAGGAUGAGAUCGAAAACAAAAUAGAAGUAGUAGAUGCUUUGGCGCUCAAACUACUUCAGCGGUUCAAUCACUCAGUCUCAACAAUGAGAACUACUUCUCAACAUCUGUCAGGAGGUAAAAUAAUGCCAUGGAAACUAAACCUUUCCUUUACCCUUUGCACCCUCAUUAAACCCGAAUAUGAUCUCCCCCUUCACAAUUUCCAUCACACUUUGCCGUAUGGUUCUAAUUAAACCUUCUCUUCACAACACAUGCAGUUCAUCCCCUGCAGGUGGAGAUCGGCGAGUUGAAAGGGAGGAUAACGGAGGUGAUCAACAAUUGCGACGCCCUUUGCAAGAGAAUCGAGAAGGAAGGGCCAGAAGCUCUCCGUUCAUCCGUUAAGCCAUUCGUCGUUCCCACUCUUACUGAAUCAAACAUUGGUAAUGUUAUACAUGGAAACAAGCCUUCCAGCCAAAGUUAGUCACUAAUUUUCCGUGGAUAUUCGAUCCUUUUCAACCACACAGCUGUAUUGACAUAGAAUAACGAGGGCAGCUUGAACAAGGUUACUACAAGGGCUGUGCUAUUCUUUUAUAGUCGAUAAACGCAGUUCAUAGGGAUGGCAUCAACUAGUUAAAAAAAAGGUCAUACUUAACAGUACAUGCUAAGGUUCUUUCGUCUCUCUAUUUAUUAUCAAGUUUGUAACUGUACGAAUUCUGAGUUCCAUUGAAUGUGAGAUUUGUACAUGCACUGUCUGACAUCAUAUUUCUUUAUCUCUACUGGUUCCGUUUAUCUGAUUCAGUAACAGCCAACUCAAAUACCCAAUCUGCGACGAAAAAGUGCUUCUAAAAAGGAACCAAUACAGCAAGAACAGAGCAGAACUAGAAUACGAUACUUCUGAAGCCUGGAAACAAAUUUGACUACUGAUAUUCUGGAAAUAUUAACCCUGGAAACCCAAUAACAAACCCCAAAUAAGGUACAGUCUCUGCCUCUGCAUCCAUAAACAACUUCUUUAAGACAUCAAGGCUGCUGCUGGGCAUCCAUGUAACCAGCAUCAACCAGCACUUUCUCCCUUUUGGCCAACUCAAUGUCUUCAUCCACCAUCAUCUUCACCAGCUUCUCGAAUCCAACUUUGGGCUUCCAUCCCAACACCGUCUUGGCUUUUCUGGCGUCACCCUUCAGGUUAUCAACUUCCGCCGGCCUGAAAUACUUCUUGUCGAUCUCAACGUGAUCCUUCCAGUUCAGCCCCACUGAUCCAAACGCCAACUCCAGAAACUCUUGAACGCUGUGCGAUUCCUCAGUAGCCACCACGUAGUCGUCGGGCUUCUCCUGCUGUAACAUCAUCCACAUCGCCUCAACAUAGUCUCCAGCGAAGCCCCAAUCCCUCGACGCCUGCAGAUUCCCCAAGUACACUUUCGUCUGCAGUCCGACCUUGAUCCUCCCCACGGCUCUCGUGAUCUUCCUCGUCACGAAAUUCUCCCCUCUCCUCGGAGAUUCGUGGUUGAACAAGAUCCCGUUGCAGGCGUACAGACCGUACGCUUCCCUGUAAUUGACAGUGUACCAAUGCGCAGCACAUUUGGAUGCAGCGUAAGGGGAUCUAGGGUGGAACGGAGUGGUCUCCGAUUGAGGAGGCGGAGUGGAUCCGAACAUCUCGGACGAUCCAGCCUGGUAGUACCGGAUGUGAGCGCGGCCGGUGUCCAGGAUAUGAGAUCUGACCGCCUCGAGGAGGCGGAGGGCUCCCGUGGCCACAACGUCAGCGGUGUAGUCGGGGAUCUCAAAGGAGACGGCCACGUGUGACUGGGCGGCGAGGUUGUAAACCUCGUCAGGGCGGAUGGUGUCGAGCCAGCGGCGGAGGGAGGAAGCGUCGCUGAGAUCGGCGUAAUGGAGCUUCAUCCGAGCCUUGUUGAUGUUGUGGGGAUCGAUGUAGAUGUGGUUGAGUCGCUGGGUGUUGAAGUUGGAGGACCUCCGGAUGAGGCCGUGGACCUCGUAGCCCUUGUCGAGGAGGAACUCGGUGAGGUAGGAGCCGUCCUGGCCGGUGAUUCCGGUGAUCAGAGCGAUCUUUAUUACCGGCGGAGAUGCGUCGCCGUUGGCGGAUCCGGAUCUGGAAUUGUCAUUGUCAGUAGCAGCCAUGGUAUGGGGGGAGGGGAAUCGAGAGAGGUUCAGUUGACGGAGUGAGGAAAUGGAAGAAGACGCGGUUUUGCUGUAAUGGAGGGAUUUUGAUUUUAUAGACGACGAGUCUGGAGAGAAUUUGACGGAUUUGCCCCCCGAAUAUGUAAAUAAAUCAUGCUUCCAAGUAUGGUUAUUUAUUAAUUUCAGACGAAACUGGAUCUCGAUUUCAUUUGCGACUUUGUACAGCGGAGAACGUUAUGUGCCUAUUCAAAAGUAUAAACUGUCCACAGUGAAAAAUAUAAACACAUAUAUUUGGCUUUCUGUACGCCAUUUCACAACUAGUAGCCUGCUAUAAACCAGCAAAUUGGUCACAUAUGGCAGACAUGUCAAACUGUAAUUUAUUUGUAAGGAAGCCAAAUCUAUAAGGUUAACGGGAUGCACAUUGUGACCCCGGUCACGAUCAUUGCGUUCCUCUCCGUCUCAUCUAACUUCCAGUUGAGGAUUUUCAACUAACGGAACCGUCUAUUAUGUGUCGAUGAUUUUUUAUCAUCUAUAAUUAAUAUGACUUACCGCUGCAAUGAUUUUUUGUAAUUACUGGCCAUGUACCAUAUCUCAAGUCCCUGAUCAGAAGAACUUGAACACUCAAUUAGACAUUAUGCAGUGGAGGGCUUUGAGGAAAGGAUGAGUGUUUCAAGCUUUGCUUACUUAUUUACAGUUUUCGAAUGUCAUGAUAAUUGAUACCUAUUAUUAUGAAUUUAAACCUCAAGUAAUGACGCAAUUGGUCAUUAGGAGAAACGAACGGCCAUCGCUAAUUUGACUAUUCAAUGGAACUUUUGGGGUCAUUGGUAUUGUAUGUUCUAUGGAUUGACUAUUCUUACUAGAUUUUUUCUAUCUCGUAUGCAUCGGUGACGGUCCUUCAACGUCUGCUAUUGCAGCUCUGUUGAUACUCUAAUCGGCAAUGUACAGUGAUAUCAAAUUGAUGAGUGUAAUGAUAAUUAGUGCAAUCAUUUAAAUAGUUAUAGAUCAAUUAUAUCGUAAUUGAAUUAUGUCAUGUUGUUUUAAUGAGUAGUUCAAUAUUUAAUUGAUAUUACCGUUAAAUCGAUACAAUAUUGAAAACAAUACUAAUCGAGCAUCUAUGGUGAAAUCAUGACAUUGUUGGGAAAAAUUGUGUUCCUUUUUUUGUCUACAAAAGUUGUUUCCCUCUUAAAUUGUUAGGGAAUGAUGAUUCCGGUCACAUUUUCUUUUAGCGAUGUUGGGAUGUUGUUGAUUUUGAUUUUGUGGAAUUUGUUAUCAACUAUUUCAGAAAUUUUGAGUUGAUUUUGGAUAUUAGCUAGACAAUGAAUGUAGUUUUCUUUGAAGCACCUUCUUACAAUGUUGUUCCAUAGAACUUUUUUUUUAAUAUAUUCAAAGGCUAUUUUAUCCUAAAAUUUAUUAUAAAUUUUUAAUUGUAUUCACAUUGCCGUAUCAAUCAGUUUAACAAUUUAUUUAAUGAAUAAUUUUCAUAAUUCUCCAUUCCUAAUUUGUUUAGCAAUUUUUAUUCAUCAUUUAUAUAUUCCUUAACAAUAUUUUUCCACCAAUAAAUCGUUCAUAAUAUAAAUUGUAAUCAUAAAUUUUUUUUCUUAAAAAAUGGUUUAAUUGCUUAUGAUGACAUUAUUAAUUAACUUUUUAAAUUAGAAAAUUUUCUAAUUUAAUAAAUAUUUUUCUAUCUCUAAUAAUUCCUAAUGGAAUAAUUUACCCUUUGUUUCACCAUACCAAUUGCUGGAGUUUAGGAAUAGAAAUGUUCAUAUCCUCUCUUUGAUAUCACUCAUCCUUGACAAAAUUCCUAGUAAAUUGAAUUGAGGGAUCCAUGAAUCGGCUCAUUAGUCUCAAUCAGACAAGUUUCAUUUCGAGUCGUUAGAUUACAAAAAUAUUAUUAUCUUUUUGGAGGUGAUGCAUACCAUGAGAUUGAAGACCGAAAAAUAAGGAAUGCUAAAAAUUAAAUUGGAUUUUGCUAAAGAUUAUGACAUGAUUGAUUUAAAGUUUGUGGAGGAUAUUUUUGUGCAAGCACACCUUCCAAACAACAUUCGUAUUACCAUUGUCUGUAUCCAUCAUCCAAAUUCAGUGAAGUUAAGUUUUAACGGAACCUUUUAAACAUGGAUGUGAUUUCGGCAGAAAUGUCAUCUUUCCCCUAUGUAUUAUUUAUUUGUGUCACUUCGAUAGAAAUAUCGGUUCGCCCGGACCGAUUCUGAAAAGCUGAAUAAUAUCUAUAGAGUAUAGAGAUCGCUUGGGUGUGCCAAAGGUUGGGAGUAGUCUGACGAGAAUGAUAAACAAUAAAACAAUUAAUAAAAGUAAAGUAUUCGUCCAACUAUUACUCAGAAAAAAAGAAUUAUAAAUUAGAAUAAUAUGAUUCCACAAAUUGGACUUUUCCAUUUUCGUUUCCGCUUUCUUCCGGUCUUAUUAUCACGCGCCUCUUGUCCGGAGAAAUUUCAGAUCUCUUCCGAGUCUUGACUCUUGAACGAGUGAAGGACUCGGUAGUCGUCUGUAAUAAUUUCGUCUUCUCUAGCUCAACCCGCUUUCUCCGCUUCUCAGCUCCAACCCUCCAAAUCCGGCCGCUAGAAUCUUGGAGCAGAUGGCUAAGAGAUCCGUUCCUCUCCUAAAGCAACUCCUCUCCUCAUCCACCUCCUCUCUCCGCGAGUCAUGCUCCUCUCGCCUCACCUCUCAACGAUCCGUCACCUACAUGCCCCGUCCCGGCGACGGUACUCCACGCGCCGUCACUUUGAUUCCCGGUGAUGGAAUCGGACCUCUCGUCACAGGCGCCGUCGAGCAAGUCAUGGAGGCGAUGCNNNNNNNNNNNNNNNNNNNNNNNNNNNNNNNNNNUUCAGGUGAUCGUGUCUCGGCAUAUUGUGGUUUUUUAAGAAGGGGGAGGGAAUAUGGUGUCGGUCUCGGCAUUCCUGCUGAACCGCUCUUCCGAUCUUAUAUUCAAAGGCUAUUUUCAUCCUAAAAUUUAUUAUAAAUUUUUAAUUGUAUUCACAUUGCCGUAUCAAUCAGUUUAACAAUUUAUUUAAUGAAUAAUUUUCAUAAUUCUCCAUUCCUAAUUUGUUUAGCAAUUUUUAUUCAUCAUUUAUAUAUUCCUUAACAAUAUUUUUCCACCAAUAAAUCGUUCAUAAUAUAAAUUGUAAUCAUAAAUUUUUUUUCUUAAAAAAUGGUUUAAUUGCUUAUGAUGACAUUAUUAAUUAACUUUUUAAAUUAGAAAAUUUUCUAAUUUAUCAAGCUUAAAAGGCAGUUAGGGCCGAAUUGGUCUUAUUCAGGGGAAAGAGCUUCGGACAGCAAGAAGCUUGCUAAAGCCAAAGUGGACCGGCUUAAUCAAGCCAUCAACCAUAAUUUGACCAUUUCUUACAUUAACCAAUUAGGUAAAAUAUAUUGAUUUUAUUAAGACCAAUCAAGCCAUCAAGGUCACAGGCUGACUAAUGAUCUUCCUAUUUUCUUCUUCUAGAGAAAAUAGGCAUUUACACAUUUAUAUUAUGUGAAAUUUACAUCAACAACGUUAUAUAUAAUUUAAAAUAAAAUGUUUUCUCGGAUGCAAACUAUACAACAACUUCAAUGUUCACAUUUAAUAUAGUUAUUAUACAAUUAAAUUAGAGGCGGAGAGUACAAUAUAAGUAUAUAUCCUCUAAUUUUUUUCUAUCACUUACUUUCUUUUUAAAGACGAGGAAUGCCCUAAAUUAAAUUAAAGAGACAGUUCGAGGAAUAUGUUAUCGUGAUGUAGCCAGUAGGAUAUGUUUUAUACAUGCGAGGAAAAGAAAUGUAAACCCAAAUCCAAAGAGUGACCAAGACUAACAAGAAAAUCAAAUGCGCAAUGAGUUGGUGAGUUGGUGGCUCAAUAGGAUUAUAGUUUAUGAAAAACUCGAUAAAUAUACAAUUUAGUUUAGAUUAGAAUAAUAUGAUUCCACAAAUUGGACUUUUCCAUUUUCGUUUCCGCUUUCUUCCGGUCUUAUUAUCACGCGCCUCUUGUCCGGAGAAAUUUCAGAUCUCUUCCGAGUCUUGACUCUUGAACGAGUGAAGGACUCGGUAGUCGUCUGUAAUAAUUUCGUCUUCUCUAGCUCAACCCGCUUUCUCCGCUUCUCAGCUCCAACCCUCCAAAUCCGGCCGCUAGAAUCUUGGAGCAGAUGGCUAAGAGAUCCGUUCCUCUCCUAAAGCAACUCCUCUCCUCAUCCACCUCCUCUCUCCGCGAGUCAUGCUCCUCUCGCCUCACCUCUCAACGAUCCGUCACCUACAUGCCCCGUCCCGGCGACGGUACUCCACGCGCUGUCACUUUGAUUCCCGGUGAUGGAAUUGGACCUCUCGUCACCGGCGCCGUCGAGCAAGUCAUGGAGGCGAUGCACGCUCCUGUCUACUUCGAGCGCUACGAAGUCCACGGGGACAUGAAGAAGGUGCCGCAAGAGGUCCUCGAUUCGAUUAAGAAGAACAAGGUCUGCUUGAAAGGAGGACUCGCCACUCCCAUGGGAGGAGGUGUUAGUUCUUUGAACGUGCAGCUGAGGAAGGAGCUUGAUUUGUACGCUUCACUGGUGAAUUGCUUCAAUCUUCCUGGAUUGCCAACUCGCCACGAGAAUGUUGACAUCGUCGUGAUUAGAGAGAAUACAGAGGGUGAGUACGCCGGCCUGGAGCACGAGGUCGUCCCCGGUGUGGUUGAGAGCCUGAAGGUAUUGGUCAUUUCUUUCACUUUCGAUCUGCUUGUUUGUUUGAUUGUGAAGGUUUUGAAUGAUUGAAUCCUCAAUUCCAAGGUUAGAAGAAUUUUCAUACUAUGUGUUUGUUAGGUGAUUACGAAGUUCUGCUCAGAGAGGAUUGCCAAGUACGCUUUCGAGUAUGCUUACCUGAACAACAGGAAGAAAGUGACUGCUGUCCACAAGGCAAACAUCAUGAAGCUUGCUGAUGGCUUGUUCUUGGAGUCUUGCCGAGAGGUUGCUACCAAAUAUCCUGGUAUUAAAUACAACGAAAUCAUCGUGGACAAUUGCUGUAUGCAACUUGUUUCCAAGCCUGAGCAGUUUGACGUCAUGGUAAGGCAUCUCAGCUCCAGUCCUUAUAUUCAGGGAAUUCUCUACUGUAGCCACUCAUUAGAGUUGAAUCAUGUUAUAAAAGUUUCUUGCUGUGAAGUAACUUACAUUUCUUAAUGCUGAAAGGUUGUUAAGUAACAUUCAAUUCCAGACUUUGGAAUUUGGAUGCAACAAGUGAAAUAACUUAUUUAUGUGCGUCCCACUUAUCUUUAGCUGGUCUGAGCUUGUUGAUCGAUGUGGUAUUGAGCUAUAUCCUGUGAAGUAACAUGUCUAUACUUUCGAUGUCAAACAACUUAUUCCUGUGGAUUCCGGGCCUGAUUACCUUAAUGCUGAUGAACUAUAUAUUUUGUUUCUGUAGCUGGUGCAAUAAUACCUGCCGAAAGAUCUUUUCGAAACUAGGAACUUUUAUGUAAUGCAUCUAGACGACCAUAUGUUGGCAUGUGAAUUGAGAUGACAGAGUAACUACUGAUGUGUGAUUACCAAUAUCUUUGCGAAACACUGAGUUGACAACUGUUUUGUGAUGAAUUGAUCAUUGCCUUGUUAUCCACUUCUCUUACCUGAGAAUUCUCAAGGCUGCUAAUGAUACUCCGAUGCUCAUUGAGAUUGCUCUCUCUCUCUCUUUUGUAGGUCACACCUAAUCUUUAUGGAAAUCUAGUUGCAAAUACAGCUGCAGGUAUUGCUGGUGGCACUGGAGUCAUGCCUGGAGGUAAUAUAUUGCAAGUUUCUGUUUCUCUCUUUUCCGGUUAGUUUAGCACCAAAACAGUGAUUUACUUGUUUAGGGAUGAUGUGUACCGAUCUAAUUUUGUCAAUUCCUAGCAGCAAAUAAUGAGCGACUUUUCUGAUGAUAUUCGCUUAGUAGGAUGACUAGGUUGUGAAAGUAGCUUAAGCGGAAUCAUCAAACCUGAGCAUAUGGUGUUAUUAUAUACAUUAAUAAUCUCGUUCUAAGGUUAUUAUAAACCUUAACAGACUCUUGUGUAUGGAUGUGCAUCGUGUAUCAAUUUCUUCUUUGUCAUUCUAAGGGGGGACUUGGGAAAUACAGGUCGUUAGUGUAUAAUGCAAGUCUCAGUAAGCAGCGAGUACUCAUCCUUAAGCACCACUGAACUCUUGUCCUUCUGUCAAACAUCUUCCCGUUUUGUUCAAUUUGAUAUAGUUGAAAGGAUAUUCAGCAAGAUAUAACUUUUUUCCUCCUAUCUUGUUGUUUAAAGGCUACACCCCUUUUGAUUGGUUCUGCAGGUAAUGUGGGAGCUGAGCAUGCAGUGUUCGAGCAAGGUGCUUCGGCAGGAAAUGUGGGGAAUGACAAACUAUCGGAGCAGAAGAAGGCGAACCCAGUAGCUCUGCUGCUCUCAUCAGCCAUGAUGCUAAGGCAUCUUCAGUUCCCAUCGUUCGCCGAUAGAUUGGAGACUGCUGUGGUAGGAGUGAUUUCAGAGGGCAAGACCAGGACCAAAGAUUUGGGAGGCACUAGUACCACCCAAGAGGUCGUUGAUGCCGUCAUAGCGGCUUUGAAGAACUGACAUCCCCCGGGAAACACUUGCUUCUGAGAAAAUAGACUUGUGGAUUGAGGAAGAAAUUUCCUUACCGUUCAUUAUUCUUCUACCUUUUAAAAAAGUUGUUGACAUUUCCUGCAUGCGAGAGAAAGCUGUGCAAAGCAUAUCUGUAUUUUGAUAUUUCCCCACCAUCUCAAUAAUUUUCUUACUUGAAAAAUGACAAAACAUGAAUUGUUACUUGGAUCGACGGGAUGUAUAGGUUGGUUCUGGAUUUGUUGCAGUUAUGCAGUCUGACGAUGGUUACUCUUGUCGUUACCAAUCUCUUGAUUUGUUCUCCAAAGGUUAACUUUGGUUUUGUGUUAUCAAAGUCAGAGAGUGAUCUUGUUUAGGAGCGUUAUGAGACUGAUAAGUUGCGUCACUCAAGACCAUCGGUCUCUUUCGGGUGGCACAACUUAUCCCAGGCCAUCUAGAAUCACUAUCUUUGUCUUCGGGAUAUAAAUUCUACAAAUAUCUAUCUAUUGGAUAUAUGAUAGAGUUAAUUUUACUUAAUUGUCAAAUAUUUUAAUAACCUUGAAAGUUUGAUCAGGAUUACACAUUAGUCUCAUAACUUUUAGAUAUUACGAUGAAAUUUUAUUAUUGUGAAACGCGCGGAUUAGAACAUGGUACUAUAAGCACUUGUGGCAGCAUUUUCGAGCAGAGUUGCCACAUCACCAGUGACACAAAAUAUAUAAAAAAUAAUAAUGUCUUAUGGUUUGAUUCGAAUCAAUGGAGCCCAAACCAGAAUUCUGUUAAAGGCUAAACACAAAUAGCAAGUAAUAACUUUGACAACACACACAUUAGCUCAAAAGGGAGAAGAGAAUUCACCAAAUGCAACAUCUGAUUACAAAGGUAUCGAUUGUACAUCUGCUGUUUUUGGACAAACAUGAACAUCCAACUCAAGGCUUCAACCUCUGGUUUCUGUCAACACAAAGCACAAAAGCUGCCCUAGAAAGCAACCAGCUUUACAGAACCAUAUAUCGAGAGAAGAGUAAAGAGCACCAAACGAUGAACUAAAGUCGGGGAACUAAACCCAUCUCCAUUCUCUCGUUAUCCCAAUUGAAUCACAUGCCUCCCAAAAACAAAAGAAAACAACUUUUUCCCAACUCUUAUCCAAUGAAACAUAAAUCCUAUAGAUACCACCGUGCUCCACACAAACCAAACAAAAAGAUAAAAUCAUAUAAAGGACAGAGACGUGCAAAAAUACAGCUCAAAUCACAAAAUAAAAAUCCGAGUUACCAUUCCUCAAAUACACCAUAUUGUUGUUAUCAAAUAAGACAUGCAUGCAGGGGCGAUUUGGUCCCAUUUUGUUGUUAUGAAUUAAAUUUAGGAGUUGAUGAAGAGGACGUGGGAAAUCAAGUUAAUACAUAUUUAUUGUACGAUAUGACUUUUGAUGUGUACACAUUUUUUAUUUUCAAUCCUGUUUGGGCCCAUUAAUUAGUGCCGUUAUUAUAUAAUUGGUGCAUAUUUCUAAAUGUAGAAUGAAUGCAAAUGAAAAUUAGUUGCGCUGCAUUUAAAAGUGUUUUGAAAAAAUAAAUAUUUCAAAAGGGCAUUAAUUUUUAUGGCAUUUCCAUCCUCAAAUUUUAGUUAUGAUUAAAAUGAAGUGGAGGGUGAUAUAUUAACAAUGAUUAGGGAUGUGUAUGCACUUGCUAAAUUAACAAUCUUGUUAAUUUUUAGAAAGUCAGUUAAUAAUACCACAUAAGCUAAAGUAUAAUUUCCAAAAAAUAUAUAUAUGAGUAGAAAAUAUUUUAUAGAUUAUUUAUUUAUUAUUAGUAAAAAAUGGUAUUAAAACAGCAAAAAUAAUCAUUAGAAAUUGUUAAAAUUUGUAUUUGCAAGUAUGAAUAUAGUUAAAAAUUGUUCAAUAAAUUAAUUGCUAAAAUUGAUAAUAUAACAAUAUAAACAUAAUUAAAAAUUACUAAAUGAAUUUUAGUAAUUGGCCUAGCUACCCUAUCGCUCACCACUUUUUUUAUUAGUUUUGUUUGAUAGUCAAAUAAAAUUGGUGGACAAGGGACCAAGGCCCAAUGGGUAGUGGGGAGGAGUGGGUGGAAGGCAGUCUGGAUUCAUCAAUGUGUGAUAUGUACGUAACACUAACAACUACAUUAUUGUCUCAAAAUUUAAUUCCUGACAGCGCCAAAGUUUGCUAUACAAAAGGAUCACAAAUCAGUCACAGGCAUCACAACAACAACAACCAAACCAAUUGGAAGGAACACAUCAAAAGCCAAGAGAAAGUGUAGAGUUUUUGUUUCUAUCAUUUCGUGUCGGAGCAGUACUCUGCACUCUCAAUUCUCGGCAUGACUCGAACAUGGUGUCGAUCAUGCUAAACAUACCGAAGUAAAACCUCCAACGCUAGUCAUAAUCCAUGAUUCUUCUACUGAUGAUGAUACUUCUCAAUCAUCACUUCCCAAUAAUUCGCUAAAUUACGAAAUGCUGUUAUCCAACGGGGACAUCGGGUUCGAAAUCGUUCGACCGAAAAGCAAAUUCGAUCCGAUCAGCGUCAACUACACUUCAGGCACAACAUCAAGACCCAAGGGAGUCGUGUACAGCCACAGAGGAGCAUAUCUCAAUUCCUUAGCUACACUUUUCCUCCAUGAAAUCAGCUCCACCCCUGUUUACCUAUGGACGGUUCCUCUGUUCCAUUGUAACGGGUGGUGCCUUCCCGGGGGGAUUGCAGCUCAAGGAGGCACAAAUAUCUGCCUCAGAAAGGUCACUCCAAAGGCAAUCUUUGACAACAUAGAAAUUCAAUGUGACUCAUUUGGGAGGCGCACCAACCGUGUUGAACAUGAUCACGAAAUCUUGCAUUCGCGACCAGAAGCCACUUCCUCACAAAGUGAGAGUGGCUAAAAGAGGAUCAUCAGGCUCACCUCCUCCUCGAAAAGUCAUUUCGAAGAUGGAAGAAUUAGGUUUCCACGUGACUCAUUUAUACGGCUUAACAGAAGUGUACGGUCCCGCAACUUAUUGCGUAUGGAAACCCGAAUGGGACGAUUUACCUCUCGAAGAGAGGGCAUAUUUGAAAGCGAGGCAAGGAAUGCAGCACGUUGGAAUGGAAGAUGUCGACGUGAAAAAUCCCGAGACGAUGAAGUCUGUGCCUCCCGAUGGCGAAACUAUGGGUGAUGAGUGGAUAUUUAAAGAUGUGGAGGCUACUCAGAGGGAAUACAGUGAUUAGUGGAUAUUUAAAGAUGUGGAGGCUACUCAGAAGGCUUUCGAAGGCGGGUGGUUUCGAAGCGGGGAUCUGCUGUUAGGCAUUCGGACGGGUAUAUAGAAGUGAAGGAUCGUUUGAAGGAUAUUAUAAUUUAUGGAGGGGAGAAUAUUUGUACGGUUGAGGUGGAAACAGUAUUGUACACUCAUCCGGCGGUUGAUGAGGCUGCUGUGGUUGCACAGCCGCAUGAUCAUUAGGCGCAAACUCCCUAUGCAUUUGUGAAGCUGAAAAAAGGGUUUGACGACGUGCGUGCUGGAGAUAUAAUUGAGUUUUGCAGAAGCAAGUUGCCUCACUAUAUGGCUCCGAGGACGGUCGUUUUCUAGGAGUUGCCGAGAACCUCGACUGGGAAAGUGCAGAAGUUUAUAUUGAGGGAGAAAGCAAAAGCCUUUCCUAUGGCUAAAUGAUAAUUGUUAAACUACAUAACAUUGUCUGUAAGAAAUGCAGCAACUUUCUGACUAAAAUAUUACAAAAGCAACUGUUUCAUGUAAAAGAUAGAUGCAAAGAGGGGUUUUUUAUUUCUGGGUUUUGGUUAAUUUUGUCUAUGAUGCUGGAUGCUUGGCGAGAUCAAGGCGAAAGAUGCUGUCAUGGAUGAGGUUGCCAAGAUACAAAUGAUUUCCGAUCUUGUAUCCAGUGGUGAUGAAGCGAAGUUCAGCAUCAUUGUAGUGAGCAACUGGUUUCCCAUCCAAAUCCACCAUGAAAACCCCGCUGUUCUUCUCCAUGUGCAGUGGUUUUAUGUACUUUUCGAACAUUAAUAUAGCCUUUCUCAGUAGAGGGUGUUUCAAAGAAAACUCUAACUCGGCAGUAAUUCCCUGUCACCAUUUACAAAACACAGAAAAAUAUAUGCUUAAUACAGUUCAGACAAGGCUGUUCGGUUAAAAAAAACUCGUUCCAGACUCGACUCGAGAGCGGAACUUGAGCCACGGUAUGUACGACUCGAUAGGUUCACGAGUUGGCUCGUGUUCGAAUUUAAAUACUAGCUCGAGUAUAUGGCUUGUUAGUAGACUCAAUUUUAGCAUAGUCUUUUUAGCUCAAAUGGCACUCAUAAUCAUUAUGAUUUUAAUGAGCAAAGUUUGAGUUGAGCUUUGGCUUGUCAAGGCUAGUUAACGAGUCAGCUUGAGUUCGACACUAGCUAAAAUUUUAUAGUUCGAGCUCGAAUCAAGUUUGAGCAAAAUUCAGCUCCCCUUCUGUUUCUAAAAAAAAUAGAAUGAGCCAUCAUCAGAAACUGGAAAAGAAAGUGGUGGAUUUUACCGCGGGGAAUGCAAUCCAGUAAUGUCCAUGGCCAUCAUAAUGGAUGUUAUCAGGCAAUCCAGGCAGAUUAUCAGCAAAUUUCUCCAGUUUCCCCUUCUUCUCCCCUUUUAUGUAAUAUUUCCUACACCUUCUCCUGCAAUCAAUCAUCUGAAUCAUUAAACAAGUGUAAAGCUCAAAACAGAGAGUUUGGGACUAAAAUAUCGGGAAAAAAACAAAAAUUUUACAUGGGUGUUUCACAGAAGACAAGGGAUUGUUGAUCGGGCGAAAUCUCUAUUCCAUUAGCAAAGUAGAGAUCUCGCAGCAUCACUGUAGUCUGCUUAGUCACAGGAUCAUAUCUCAGCAGACGACCAUGGGGCUUCCCUCCCAAAAUAUCGACUACGGAAUCAGCCACGGUGUAUUCGUAAGAAGCAUCCGUGAAAUACAAAGAUCCAUCCUCUGCAUCUAUGGCUACGGCGUCCGUCAACUUGAAUUUCACUCCCUCUGCUUCGUCCGUCAGAAGCUCGAUUCCUCCGUCCCUGCUACUCACUCUCAGUAGCCCCUGUGUAACGCCAAUUGGAAAAAAAUAUCCAGAAAAAACGUAAAAAAUCGUAACAAACCAAAGAAGUGAGAAACUUGUGAAAAUUGAAACGGGACCAUUACCAGAUUGAGAUAUUAUUAAGGUUGGUACUCACGAAAAUUGAGUGGGGCCACUUACCUUAAAAGCAUCGGCUACGAUCAAAUCGCGGUUAACUCGGUCUAGGGCGAGUCCGAGGGGUCUGCCACCGGUGUUGACCCAACUAGACACGGUUAUAUCGCCGACCGAGUCAUUGACCGUGACUCGCUUGAUCCAACCGUCCGCGCACCCGGUGUAGAUGACUCCGGACUCGGAGUCGUAGGCGAUGUCCUCGGGUCCGUUGACCUGACCCUGACCUACUAACUCGAAGCUUUUGAGGAUGUUGUUGUUUUUGGAUGGCGCUUUCAGGGGAGGCUGAGUCAAUUCGUGGAGGGGGAGGUGAAUCGGGUCGUAAGAGUCUAGUUUGUAGACGACGGCGGCUAAUAGCACCGGGGUGAAUAGCACGAUGAGGAGGGAGGUAGUCGGCCAGCUGGCGGAGGUCCGGCGACUCUGCGGUGUUGGCUGAGGCGGAGGCAUCGGGCGGAUUGGGCGGAGGUUGGUUACCGGGAGUUUAAAAUGUAGUAUGAUUUGAUGAUAUAGGUGUAGGAUAGACUGAUAGAGGUGAUUUGGUGAACGGAGCUGGUGAUAUUUCGUAAGAUUGAUGACGAGGACUGAGGAGAGAGAAGCGUUUAGAUGACGAGGACUGAGGACAGGAACAAAAAUUAAAUACUGAAACGAACUCGCUCCAUUUUUCUUGUUGACCCACUAUAGGUCAUGUGACGUGGCAGGUUAGUUACGUGGCUGUUACUUGUCACACCUCUUGCCACGUGUAUUUCUUGACAUUGCCCCCAUUUUGCCAAUAUAGCAUAUUCUAAUUUUACAGUUUUAUUGUACGUUAGCUAACCUAGAAAUUAAGAUAGCACAUAAAAAUAUAUAUUUUAUUAUUGUGUGAGCAGUUUACCGUAUAAAAUCAUCUACAAAUACAAAUUAUAGGAGGGAUGCAUGAGCAACAUAUAACAUAUGUUUCGUUGUAAUAAGAUGGAAAGUACCAACUUCAAAUUUUGUUCAUAUUCACCUGAUAAUUUUAUACCGAAAACAUCAAGCAAAAUUUUAAAUAUAACCAACAUUACCUAUUAAAAAAAAUAUGUUAAUCCGGACAAGUUUAUAUGAGAAAGACUUUGAUGUGAUACAAUAUUGCUGGAUUCAAAUAAUAUUAUAAAAAUNNNNNNNNNNNNNNNNNNNNNNNNNNNNNNNNNNNNNNNNNNNNNNNNNNNNNNNNNNNNNNNNNNNNNNNNNNNNNNNNNNNNNNNNNNNNNNNNNNNNNNNNNNNNNNNNNNNNNNNNNNNNNNNNNNNNNNNNNNNNNNNNNNNNNNNNNNNNNNNNNNNNNNNNNNNNNNNNNNNNNNNNNNNNNNNNNNNNNNNNNNNNNNNNNNNNNNNNNNNNNNNNNNNNNNNNNNNNNNNNNNNNNNNNNNNNNNNNNNNNNNNNNNNNNNNNNNNNNNNNNNNNNNNNNNNNNNNNNNNNNNNNNNNNNNNNNNNNNNNNNNNNNNNNNNNNNNNNNNNNNNNNNNNNNNNNNNNNNNNNNNNNNNNNNNNNNNNNNNNNNNNNNNNNNNNNNNNNNNNNNNNNNNNNNNNNNNNNNNNNNNNNNNNNNNNNNNNNNNNNNNNNNNNNNNNNNNNNNNNNNNNNNNNNNNNNNNNNNNNNNNNNNNNNNNNNNNNNNNNNNNNNNNNNNNNNNNNNNNNNNNNNNNNNNNNNNNNNNNNNNNNNNNNNNNNNNNNNNNNNNNNNNNNNNNNNNNNNNNNNNNNNNNNNNNNNNNNNNNNNNNNNNNNNNNNNNNNNNNNNNNNNNNNNNNNNNNNNNNNNNNNNNNNNNNNNNNNNNNNNNNNNNNNNNNNNNNNNNNNNNNNNNNNNNNNNNNNNNNNNNNNNNNNNNNNNNNNNNNNNNNNNNNNNNNNNNNNNNNNNNNNNNNNNNNNNNNNNNNNNNNNNNNNNNNNNNNNNNNNNNNNNNNNNNNNNNNNNNUAUAUAUAUAUACUAUAUGUGUAUAAAGUUUCAUUUUCAUAUUAUUAUAAAACCAUUUAAUUUUUUUAUAUUUAUUUGAUGCUUCACAUACUUAAUACGUAUUACAUGUUUAAUAUACAUAUUUUAAAAUUUUGGAUAGAUAUUUUAAAAUUUUUUUAAUAUUUAAUAAUGAAUACAGAACUUUCAAAUGUAUUUAAAAAAACAUAUAAAACCUGAAUGUAUUAAUACUAUACUAUACCCAUUACCGUAUACCGCAUUUUACUAAAAAGCCCCCACCAUGCAGCCCCUUUCCUCAUUCCCUCCCAUCCCAACAUCUGCGUAUUAUAUAUAACGAACUUACCUCCUCCCCAAAUCUCACAUCACAACCUUCACAAACACUUCUAAACCAAGAACCCACAAGAAAAAUGGAACGUUCAAUUCGAACCAGUAGUACUCCACCAACUCUCGUAGUUACAUUGGCGCUCUUGUUUAUAGCUGCCACCGCAGAGAACUGCGAGAGCCAAGCAGGGAACGCGGUGUGUCCGGGCGGCCUAUGCUGCAGCCGGUUCGGCUGGUGCGGCAACACUGCGGAUCACUGCACAAAUGGCUGCCAGAGCCAAUGUACUCCGCAAGGUGAUGGUGGGGCCACCCCAACCCCGACCCCAUCCGGAGGAGGAUGAGGCCCAUAAUUACCCCAGCAAUCUUCGAGGACAUGCGCAAGCACCGUAAUGACGGUGCUUGCGAGGUUAGCAGGUUCUACAGCUAUGAUGCUUUCAUCGCUGUUGCUCGGUGCAUCAACGGAUUUGGCACAACCGGUGAUCUCAACACCCGUAAAAAAGAGCACGCCGCUUUCUUGGCCCAGACCUCCCACGAAACCACCGGUACAUACAUUCUACAUAUUUUAUUUACUUUUGAUAGUUCAAGUGACAAAUUAUUGAAUUAAUUAGAAGGUAUAAGGAAAGGGUGAGAAUUGGCCGUGUUAAACUGGACUUCGAAUAAUCUAAAAGUCUGAAUUAAAUCAAAUUAGAUUAGAUUUGUGUCUAUACAAUUGAUAAUACAUAGAUUUAGGUGUUCUGACUUUUUGGAGUGAAGUCCGAAAUGUUUUGGCCCAAACCGGCCCAAACCAAGAAAAACAUAUAAGAAAUAUUAGACCACUGUUGGAGUAUCAUAAUUUCAAUAAAUUUUAUUUUUAUUAAUUCAGUAAGAAGACUAAAGUAAUAUACAUAACAACAAUCAACAAAUAAAAUGUACUUCAAUGAUGCAUAUUAUCAUAGGAGUGGAAAAUUCGAUCGUAUUUAACCCUAUAAAUCGGACUUUGACAACCCCAAAUAUUCGUAUUAAAAAAAAUCACACCUAAUUCAAGUUUGUAUAAACCACAUCGGUUCGAGUUUGAUUGGAUCGGACAACCUGAUUCUUUACCCUCUGUCUUAACUUUUAGUUGCAUGUUCCAGGAGGAUGGCCAACGGCACCUGACGGCGAAUUUGCGUGGGGUGUUGUUUCAUUAGAGAGGGAUCGUUCAACUUAUUGCACAAUACCUAACGAAUGCCCAUGCGCUGCUGACAAGCAAUACUACGACAGAGGACUCAUCCAGCUCACUCCGUAAGUAUAUUGUUUAUUAUUAUUAUUGAUUUCAUAUAUAUCAUAAAAAAAACUGGAGACUAAUUGGGUUGACUUUGUAUGGUUAACAACUAUAACUACGGGCUAGCAGAGAGCGCAAUUAGAUAGGAUCUGAUUAACAACCCGAAUUUGGUGAUAAUCAACGCCGAGAUAUUAUUUCCGACGGCAAUUUAGUUCUAGAUGACUGCUCAGGCGAACAAACCGUCAAGCCAUAACGUGAUUGUUGGAUAGUGAAAUCCAUCUGUGGCCGACAUGACAGCCAACAGAGUUCCCGACUAUGAGAUCAUCACCAACAUUAUCAACGGCGGUCUCGUGGUGCCGACCCUCGUGUGGAAAAUAGGAUUGGGUUCCACCAGAGGUUCAGCUCCAUUCUCGGAGUCAACCCUGGCGGCAAGCAACAAUCAAACCCCCUUCAAUAAAUAGGACAAUCAGCAUCAUUUCGUUACUGGUCCAUGCGAUAUUUUAAUAAUUGUUUAAUAUUAAAUAGAGGUGCCGUAAAACUAAAGGAAAUAGAUAAGCCAAUAGCAGUAAAUUUGCAAUUCAAUUAUAUAUAUUAAUUAUUAAUAAUAAUUAAAAAUUCUUGUAUUUUCCAAUUUAUAAUAAUUAAAAAUAAAAUAAUACAAUGAUCACUUUACUUGAUUAAUUUCAACCAACAUAAAAGCAUUAAUGUUUUUAUCUCAUCAUAUAUUUCAAUGUUUGGCCUUAGGAUUUUAUCUUUUGAUUACGAUAACAACUUCAACAUACUUACUCCAUUACCAAAUAAACUCUAUUUGGUAUACAAACAACCUAAUCUAAAAGGGCUUAACAUGGUGAAACCUCAAUGUUCAACCAUUCCCAACAUACACGUCAAAUAUUAGCCCAUUUAAAAAGUUCUAAUUUUCACAACAAAAUUUGUCAAUUUCCAAAGAAAAUAACUAUGGAAAUGAACUAUUUUGACAUGAAAACUUCAAAUUUUCAUAUCGACUAGUAUUUGACAUGCAUGUUGGAAAUAGCUUAAAAGCUAAGUUUCAUCAUCAUGACCCCCCUGAAAUAAUUGGAUUAUGAAUUUUAAAAUCAUAUUAACUCGAUAUUGUUUCAUCAUGUGAAGAAAUAUUAUCUAACUUUAUUUCCCUAUUAUUUGAAGAGUUUAACAUGGUGAAACCUCAAAUUUUAAUCAUUCCCAACAUGCAUGUCAAAUAUUAACUAAUUUGACAAUUUGUAAAUUUUCAUGUCAAAAUUACCAAUUUACGUGUCUUAUAUUAUACAAAUGGACCAUUUUGAUAAGAAUAUUUCAAAAUUUUUAAAUCGGCUAGUACUUGACAUGCGCAUUGAAAUUGGUUAAAAAUCAAGUUUCAUUAUGGUUAUCCCUGUAAAUAAUAACCAAAUAAAAUUAAAAAUUAAUAUUACUUAGUGUUAUGUUAGUAUAAAAAACUAUCAAAUCAGCUUACUUUCUACGUAUAUGCGAUGGAAAAUAACUAAAAUUCCAAACUAAAAUUUUCAAAUGAGGCUACUUACCUACAAUACCCUAAAUAUGCAUAAAUCCAAAUAAAGGAUUUACUAGCUAGCUGGCAAAUUACGACUUGCAAUUUCUCAACAUAGAAAGGUAGGAUUUGUGUAGAAAAAGGAUAAUGAUAAAAUUAUGAGAAGUUGUUGGCUAAAAUGCAUACGCAUUGCGUCAAAUUAAUUCUCCCCUUAUCCCCAAAUUAACCAAGACAACCAAAUUUCUCAUCACGUUACUCGACUCUAUACUGUUGAAGGAAUGAGUCAGUGAAGGCGUGCGUCGUCAAACCUUUUUAAUUUGAAUUAGAAAAGUCCACACCUCCACCUUUAAAUAAUUAUCCCCAAUUCUGUUAUAUACAAACCCCACCCCGCAGCCCCUUCUGUUUUAGGAUACAUUGGAUAUGAAUUGUAUAAAUAAAAUAUUAAACAAUUAUAGGUAAAUACAAUACACAAGAAUAAUGCGUGUAAAAUAUUACCUAUAGGGACGUGAUGCUAUAUCCAUUUUAAAAUCCUAUAACUUAUAUUUAAUAUCACAUUUAAUAUACCAUAAAGAUACUCGCUUGAUCGAAACAUGCAUUAAGCCGGAUUUGAAUCGAAAUCCAAUCGUCGAAUAACUAAUUUAAUUUUUUUUAAACGCAAUACUAAAUUAAAAUAUACAAAAACUCAUUUGUUGUGUUCUUUUUAGUCAAAACAAAUUGUUCUUAACUAUUGAAUGCGCUACCAGUCAUUUUUAAGCCGAAGUUAAAAUUUCCCUAUGCCAAACUUAAACUAAAAAUAUACUUAGAUUUACGGCUCAGGGUCGAAAUUUCCUUAAGCCGUAACCUCCCGAUAUUCACCCCCGACGAUACCGAGUACAAAAUGCUAAAUCUAUGGCACCGGAGACACGCGGUUUCGAAAAUAAAAAGUACAUCCACGACAACAUAACUCAUUUUAAAAGGUUUUUGUUACAAUGAAGUAUAUUUCUCACCACAAUACAAUAUAAUAAACAAUAGAACCGAAAUUUUGUACCGAUUUAUAAUUAAAAGGAGUCUCAAUAUAUAAAUAUAUAUUUCGUCUCACCGUGUGGCAAGACUUUUUCCUAACUCAUAAUGGUUAGGGAGCUGCAUCAGCUUGGAGGCCAUGUGCACAAUAGCCGGGUAUUAUAUAUAAAUGACCUUUGCAUCCUCCCAUUUCCCACAACACAUUUCACAAACACUUCAAAACCCAACACCCCAAAUAAACACACAAAUCAAUGGAACGUUCAAUCCGAGCCAGUACUCCUCCUCUAACUCUCCUAGUUACAUUUUCCCUCUUGUUCAUAGCUGCCACCGCAGAGAACUGCGGGAGCCAAGCUGGGAACGCCGUGUGUCCGGGCGGCCUAUGCUGCAGCCGGUUCGGCUGGUGCGGCAACACUGCUGAUCACUGCACAAAUGGCUGCCAGAGCCAAUGUACUCCACCGGGUGGUGGACCCACACCGUCCGGAGGAAGUGAUGUGGGGUCCAUAAUCACGCCAGAAAUCUUCGAGGACAUGCUCAAGCACCGUAAUGACGGUGCUUGCGAGGCUAGAGGGUUCUACAACUAUAAUGCUUUCAUCGCCGCUGCUAGGUCCUUCAACGGAUUCGGCACCACCGGUGACCUCAACACCCGUAAGAAGGAGCUCGCCGCUUUCUUGGCCCAGACCUCCCACGAAACCACCGGCGGAUGGCCGACGGCGCCUGACGGCGAAUUUGCGUGGGGGUAUUGUUUCAUUAGGGAGACAAACCGCUUGACUUAUUGCUCAUCCAACGAAUGGCCUUGCCCUGCUGGCAGGCAAUACUACGGCAGAGGACCUAUCCAACUUACCCAGUAAGUAUAUUAUUUAUUUUAUUCUUUUUCCUUAAAAAAAUUGUUUUGGAGACAAAAAGAUAGAAAAAAACUAUCAAAAACAUUCUUAAAUAAUAUUUAAGAGCCUCACAAACCAAUAGAUCGCCUUUUAUCUAACUUCCGUACUUAUUAAACUUGAACUCAUGACAAAAACGAAAACAACUAAUAAAUCUCCCCAACAAUUUGCUUAGUGUCCUCUCCAAAAUACCCAAUAAAAAUCAACCCAAAACACCAAACAUAUACAACUCAACAGGCCGAUAAUUAUUAUAAAGAAUCUAUCAUUUAUUAAUUUAGGAAAUAAUUAAGUUGUUGCCUCGGAGGCUCAGACAUUUUAUUUUUUCAAACAGUUUAUACAUUUACUUAUGUAAAUAAAAGUGCAUCUGGAUUAAUAAUUCGUAAUCGGCAUGAAAAUGUAAUGCGUGAUGAUAGAGUGUGACAAAAAACAUUUAGUCAUUAAUUUAUUAUAUUCUAAUUGAUCUCAUAAUCGCUGACUAAUUACGUUGACUUUUCAUGGUCAGCAACUACAAUUACGGGCAAGCAGGCCGGGCAAUUUCACAGGAUCUGAUUAACAAUCCGGAUUUGGUGGCGACCAACGCUGAGAUAUCAUUCCGAACGGCGAUUUGGUUCUGGAUGACUCCUCAGUCCAACAAGCCGUCCAGCCACAGUGUGAUCGUCGGGCAGUGGAAUCCGUCAGCGGCCGACAGGGCAGCCAACAGAGUCUCAGGGUAUGGGGUCAUCACCAACAUUAUCAACGGCGGCCUGGAAUGUGGUCGUGGGGCCGACCCACGUGUCGCUAAUAGGAUUGGAUUUUACCAGAGGUACUGCACUAUUCUCGGAGUCAACCCUGGCGGCAACCUUGACUGCAACAAUCAAACCCCCUUCGCCUAAUUAGGAUCUCACGAGUAACAAUAAUCAGCAUGGCGUUUCGUUACUGUCCCUCUCAUAUUUUAAUAAUUAUUCAAUAAAUAGAUGUGCUGUAAAAAUAAAGGAAAUACAUAUAUGAGUCGUUUUUAACUUUUUUUUUUUUAUCAACACACGUAACGUGUACGUCCAAGAAGAAGAGAUAAAGUGGCAUCCAUAUUGUAUUCAAUGUAUAUGCAUGUAUAUAUACGUAAGCCGGAAGCACAUUUGCAAACAUAUUUGUCUUCAACUCGACCGAAUUCCCCAUGCAUGCAGCUCUUAUCUACAGCUCCUACAGAUGCAUAAGUUCAAUGGAUAUAGCUAGCAAAUUACGACUUUCCAAUUCUCAACAAGUGCAUGAUGGAAAGGUACGUUCAUCUAGAAAAGGAUAUAAUGGAAUGAGAAGACGUUCUAGGCAAUUGUCAAGUUUGGUCCCAAACCGGCCCUAGCGGCCAACGUAAACGCCAACCAUCAAAACCAUCCUUGCUCUGCCAUGGCUCAGAGUAGCCGCCGGUUGUCGCCAAAUAUGGUGGAAACCAAAAAGCUCAAAUUUUAUCUAUAUAUUUAUUUGCUUCUCAAAUUAACAUUUUUUUUGUCCGUUACAAUAUCAAGUAUGAGGAAAUUAUUUUCAUCCAUAAAAUAUAUCAAGAAUGGUUUUAUUGGAAAGGGAGAUGAAUGGUUGAGUGAUGUGCUAAUGACAUACAUAUAGAAUAAUAUUUGUGUGUUAGUUUGAACAUUAAAUGUGUUGUACAAUACUUUUAGAUAAAAUCACAUCCUGAUUUGUUGUAGACUAUAUAUUUUGAAUUGUUAUUUUAUAAUCGUACGAAACAUUAGUAUUAUAAUGUUGACUUUUUUUUUUUUUUAUAGGUUUUUAUUUUUUUUNNNNNNNNNNNNNNNNNNNNNNNNNNNNNNNNNNNNNNNNNNNNNNNNNNNNNNNNNNNNNNNNNNNNNNNNNNNNNNNNNNNNNNNNNNNNNNNNNNNNNNNNNNNNNNNNNNNNNNNNNNNNNNNNNNNNNNNNNNNNNNNNNNNNNNNNNNNNNNNNNNNNNNNNNNNNNNNNNNNNNNNNNNNNNNNNNNNNNNNNNNNNNNNNNNNNNNNNNNNNNNNNNNNNNNNNNNNNNNNNNNNNNNNNNNNNNNNNNNNNNNNNNNNNNNNNNNNNNNNNNNNNNNNNNNNNNNNNNNNNNNNNNNNNNNNNNNNNNNNNNNNNNNNNNNNNNNNNNNNNNNNNNNNNNNNNNNNNNNNNNNNNNNNNNNNNNNNNNNNNNNNNNNNNNNNNNNNNNNNNNNNNNNNNNNNNNNNNNNNNNNNNNNNNNNNNNNNNNNNNNNNNNNNNNNNNNNNNNNNNNNNNNNNNNNNNNNNNNNNNNNNNNNNNNNNNNNNNNNNNNNNNNNNNNNNNNNNNNNNNNNNNNNNNNNNNNNNNNNNNNNNNNNNNNNNNNNNNNNNNNNNNNNNNNNNNNNNNNNNNNNNNNNNNNNNNNNNNNNNNNNNNNNNNNNNNNNNNNNNNNNNNNNNNNNNNNNNNNNNNNNNNNNNNNNNNNNNNNNNNNNNNNNNNNNNNGGAUUCGGCACCACCGGUGACCUCAACACCCGUAAGCAGGAGCUCGCCGCUUUCUUGGCCCAGACCUCCCACGAAACCACCGGCGGAUGGCCGACGGCGCCUGACGGCGAAUUUGCGUGGGGGUACUGUUUCAUUAGAGAGAGAAACCGGUUAACUUAUUGUUCAUCCAACCAGUGGCCCUGCCCUGCUGGCAGGCAAUUCUACGGCAGAGGACCAAUCCAGCUAACCCAGUAAGUAUUAUUUAUUAAUUAAGGGAGAAGUAUGAUUAAUAUCAAUUAUUCACGCACAUUCAUUUUUAUUCUCGUAAAUAAUUAAGUUAACUUUGUAUGGUCAGCAACUACAACUACGGGCAAGCGGGCAGGGCAAUUGGGCAGGACCUGAUUAACAACCCGGAUUUGGUGGCCACCAACGCCGAGAUAUCAUUUCGAACGGCGAUUUGGUUCUGGAUGACUCCUCAGUCCAACAAGCCGUCCAUCCAUAGCGUGAUUGUCGGGCAGUGGAAUCCGUCGGCGACCCACAGGGCGGCCAACAGAGUUCCCGGGUACGGGGUCAUCACCAACAUUAUCAACGGCGGUCUGGAAUGUGGUCGCGGGGCCGACCCACGUGUGGCUAAUAGGAUUGGGUUCUACCAGAGGUACUGCUCCAUUCUCGGAGUCAACCCUGGCGGCAACCUUGACUGCAACAAUCAAACCCCCUUUGCCUAAGGGUUAAGAAUAGUUGGCAUCGUCUCGAUACUAUAUUUUAAUACUUACCAAUAAAUAGAGGUGGCCACUAGCGUACUGUAAAAAUAAAAGGAAAUACGUAAGGGGAAAUUUGCAAUUGAAGCAGCUCAAUUGUAACUAUUAAAUAAAUAAUAAUAUAAUAAAAACGGAUAUUUGAUGAA
rnacentral:lncRNA from 1 species